rnacentral:lncRNA from 1 species
GAGAGAGAGAGAGAGAGAGAGAGAGAGGUGGGAAGCCAUGGCGGGCGGGAUGGGCAGUGCUCCCCACUCCCGGGCAUGGAAGCUCUACUCUCCUUAUGGGAAGCACACCAGCAUCAUCUCUGUUUUCAUCCUUUCUCUUCUCUGCGCCUUCGCUUACUUCCUCGGCAGACGCCAGGACGCCCGAGGCGCCGUCGACGGCUACCCCGUCGUCGUCUCCUCCGCCGCUUGCUCCACCAGCAACGGAACCGGCCACCCCGGCCCACCUUCCUCUCCCGUCGGAAGCCUCGACUUCUCGGCCCACCACACCGCCGACGUCGCCUCCGCACCGCCCAUGCAGGAGUACCCCGCCUGCGAUGUCAAGUACAGCGAGUACACCCCCUGCGAGGACCGGGAGAGGUCUCUCAAGUACCCGAGGGAGCGGCUGGUCUACCGGGAGCGGCACUGCCCGGGGUCGGAGGAACUCCUCAAGUGCCUGGUGCCGGCGCCGCCGGGGUACCGGCGGCCGUUCCCCUGGCCGGUCAGCCGCGAGGUGGCCUGGUUCGCCAACGUGCCUCACCGGGACCUCGCCGUGGAGAAGGCGGUGCAGAAUUGGAUCCGAGUCGACGGCGAUAAGUUCCGGUUCCCCGGGGGCGGCACCAUGUUCCCUCGCGGGGCCGAUGCCUAUAUCGACGAGAUCAGCGAGCUGAUCCCGCUGCGCGACGGGUCCAUCCGCACCGCCAUCGACACGGGCUGCGGGGUGAGUCGGGCGUCUCUCUCCCCGGUCGUCUUCUUCCUUCGCCCCUCCUCUUUUCUUUUCCACAUAUAGAAGGAGCCGACAAAUCGGGAGGGGCUGCGGGGCCAUUGGCGUCGUCGCAGUUGUUUCCUUUCUGGUUAGGGAAAGAUCUCCGGCGAUGGCGUAUCCGAAGGAUAUCCGCCGGAGGACGACUGGAAACUGAUUCUUACGUCAGGGAUGAGCGAAAGGGAGUCGAACCCGGUGACGGCCUUCGGAGUCUCUCUGAUGAAGUCGGUGGAUGUUGCAGGUAGCGAGCUGGGGGGCUUACCUUCUGUCACGCAACGUCAUCGCCAUGUCCUUCGCUCCGAGGGACACCCACGAGGCUCAGGUCCAGUUCGCGCUGGAGCGCGGCGUCCCCGCCAUGAUCGGCGUCAUGGCCUCCCAGCGGCUCCCCUACCCGGCUCGGGCCUUCGACAUGGCGCACUGCUCCCGCUGUCUCAUCCCCUGGCACCUCCAUGGCGGGCAGUUCUUGAUCGAGGUGGACAGGAUACUCCGCCCAGGGGGUUACUGGGUCUUGUCGGGGCCUCCCAUCAACUGGAAGACCCACUGGAGGGGCUGGCAGAGGACGCAGGAGGACCUCCGCGCCGAGCAGGGCGCCAUUGAGGACGUCGCGAGGAAGCUCUGCUGGAAGAAGGUGAAGGAGAGGGGCGACAUCGCCGUCUGGCGGAAACCCACCAACCAUGUACACUGUGGGAUCGUCCGGAAGCUCUUCAAGUCCCCGCCUUUCUGCUCGGCUUCGGAGAGCCCUGAUGCCGCCUGGUAUGUCCGAAUCUGCAUGGUGCACCUCCGGUAAUCACAGGGCUUGACUCAGAGAGCCCUCCUCAUCAGGUACACGAAGAUGGAGACUUGCAUAACCCCCCUGCCGGAGGUGGCGGACCUGCGCGAAACUGCCGGCGGGGAGCUGAAGAAGUGGCCGGAUAGGUUGACGGCGGUGCCGCCGAGGAUCAGUAGCGGCAGCGUAAACGAGGUGACAGCGGAGACCUUCCUCGGGGACUCCAAACUGUGGCGGCGGCGUCUCGGAUUCUACAAGACCCUCGUCAACCAGCUCGGGAAGCCCGGCGGGUACCGCAAUCUGCUCGACAUGAACGCCCACCUCGGGGGGUUCGCCGCCGCGCUCGCCGGCGACCCCGUUUGGGUCAUGAACGUGGUGCCUCCGGCGGCCGUCGACACCCUGGGCGUCGUCUACGAGCGCGGACUCAUCGGAGCCUACCAUGACUGGUGAGUCCAGAAAAGCAAACCCAUUAAAAUUUUAACGAUGAUCAAGAGACCCAUUAAAAUUUUCUCCUUGUUAUCUCCGCGCUCGCCGCAGGUGCGAGGCCAUGUCAACGUAUCCGAGAUCCUACGACCUCCUCCACGCAGACUCGGUCUUCACGUUGUACAGGACGAGGUGAGCUCCUCGGGAAGAUGAAAGCCGUACGGCAGACUCGUCCUUCUUCUUCCCCCUCCUGACUGGCCCUGCUCUGCGUCUCAGGUGCGAGAUGGAAGACGUCCUGCUGGAGAUGGACAGAAUCCUGCGGCCGGACGGGAUGGUGAUCUUCAGGGAUGACGUGGACGUCCUGGUGAAGAUCAAGAGCCAUACCGACCGCAUGAGAUGGGAGAGCCAGAUUAUGGACCACGAGGACGGCCCCCUGCAGAGGGAGAAGAUCCUGCUAGCGGUGAAGCAGUACUGGACGGCAACCGAGCCGCCUGAGAAAGGGAUUAGUCAACCAUCCGCGUGAAAAGGCUGGAGAUCGUCUGCCUGCGGAAUCAUCGCUCCGCUUCUUCCCAUCUAAUUCGCUGUUCAGCUGCCCAGUCCUGUCAGCCGCAGAGAGAGAGAGAACCAGACGCUAUCCCGAAAAAGCAUCCCUCGAGACAUAAAAGUCAACUCGACCAUUCCCACGCUAGGAGAGAGAAAAAGUCAACCACGAAACCUACCAGUUUCGGCAAGGAAAAGGAUGGCCUUUUAAAACUGUAUGGAACGAAAUAAUCCAGAAAGGCAUCUGAGACGUCUCCCUUCAAGAAAAUAAGCUUUAAGAGCCUAAGCCACUCAUUACGGAGGAGCAUCAGCGAUCAUCGAGGGGGGUCACCAGCGAUGAUGAUGAACGCUCCUCCCAACAUCUCCCACCUGCUCUAUUUCCCAUAUACAGCGUUGACAAAUAUUCAGAGGACGGCGCUGCUAGAUCAGCUCCAGGAACAGCGCCUCUUGCUUGCUAGUCAGCCCCAGAUCGCUGAGGGAGAGGCUGCCUUCCUCUUCGCCGAAAGCCCGUCGAGGGUAGGGCCUCACCUGCGAACAUGGCGGCAAUGGCGGAAGGAUAAGAUAGACGAGCACAUAGUCAUGGCAAAUGGCACGAGCAAAAAAGAAGAAAAAAGAAUUGCAGAUAAAAAAAAAGCUACCAAUUUGUACGUUCGGGGCUUGGCCACCCUCCCGGUGUCAAGGAAAUCAAAGAGCGACUGCAAGAUGAGGCAGGCGUGAGAGUUGAGGAACAAUGAAGCAUAAAACAUUGCCAUAAGAUCUACCUGGAGCUUAUCGGACUUGAGAAAACGACGCCCAUGGCGACUUCCAUCAGGCAUUCGAACGAGGAGCGUCACCGCGUUUUCGUCAUCCGUGGAGGGUUCUUCAGGGAGUGAUGCUAAUUUUGCAGCGAGCACCCUCUCAAACUCCUGCGCCAGAUUUUGGAGCAUUUGAUUGAAACUUAUCAGAAACACGAACAUAAUAAAGCAGCGAUAUCUCUUUAAGUAAAAUAAUACAAAUCAUGACAAGGGAUGGCUCUGACCAGUUCUGAGACAUAAUUCUGGCCUCAAACACACAACACGCCUGUGGUGUUUAAUUAGAAUACUAUCUUUAGGAAGUGAGUCAACCAUUUCGAUAAGGAUAUUAUCAGUUUCUUUAUUUGGAAAUACCAAAAUGCCAAAGCCGGCAGUCAAUUUCCCUGCUAUGGCGGAAAAAAACACCAACAGAAUCUUCUUUAAUAUUCUAAUAGAACAUCAAGUAUUAGACCUGUCUUUAGGCCUCAUUGUGAUGCAUAACUGUGCCAAGUCACUUAAAAUAUGCCAUUUAUAACAAAACUUGGAUCUUGAUAUACUUACAAGACUUAAAAACAUGGAUAUCUCAUGUUAAUGCAAGAAGCCUAAUGGCAAAGAAAAAGGUAAGAUCACUCUAAGUACCGUAAAACCAAAAGAAAACUCGAAAUAUGAUGGCCUUCUAUCCAUGUUCUUAGUUAUCAUGCGUGUCAGCCAUAACUUUUUUUCGCUGGGAAAAGAACAAUUCAUCACAUAAUCGGUAGAAGAAUAUAUUAUGGCUUAUAAGAAACUAGAGAAAAUGCAGCAUCUAUUUCGACCUUUAGUAGCGUCCAUGAACAUUCAUGUCUGUUUAUAAUUUGAUGAUUUCUGUUCAGGUAAAACCCGUUUUUUUUGUGCUGAGAAGUAAGAGCACAUCAACAUUUGUGCCAAAAUCAAUUUACACUGGACCAGACGGCGGGGCCUCUAACUACCAAACCCUGCCUCAAAAAUAGGACAAACUCAUAAGACAUUUUUGGGAUGGCAAUCUCCAGAGAGUAAGGAGCCCUCAUGAUGCCUUUAUUUUUCCUGGUGAUUAAAUCCCCCAACCAGCAAAAAACUGUAAAUCAGAUCUACGAUAACCACUUAUUAGUUUUCAAGUUCUAGUACAGCAAGCUGAACCGCAAAGACUUUUGUCACAUGAACUCUCUAGUAGCAUGUGAUAAUUCCCACUGAGGAAGACAGAGACCGGCCUCAUAAACCUUAUAAAGGUGCCAAUGCACCAGUCCAAAAGACAUAAGUCAAGUACUGCCUGAUCAAGGAAGUAAAAUACUGAGCAAGUAUAUACCUCUUCUUCCAACUUUUUCUUGCGAAUUUCUUCCUCUUCAUAUUUUUCUUUCUGGAGAGCUGCUUCUCUGGCAGCUGUUUCUUCCAGACGGCGAAGUUCGGCUUCCUGCAUGGCUUUCAACUCCUUUUCUCUAUCUGCUUGUAGUGCCGCCAGGUACUCAUCAUCCUGAAAACUAAUCCUCUUACAAGCCUAUUUCGCAAAUACAACAGCAGAACUUCUAUAUAUAUACAUAUAUAUGUUAAAAGAAACCUGCUGUUCCCGCAGCAUGCGUUGUGCAGCUAGUGUUGGUGAGGGAGGACGAUUUGUCCAAGGAUAAAAGCCAGUAUGUCUACCAGACCCUACUUGCACUUCUUGAUGACUUGGGUAAGAAAAUUUAUAAGCGUCGCUCUCCGGAAUCCCACCAAACAUUGCAGCUUCAAGCAUUACUGCCUCAUCAUGUUCUUCAGAUGUCAUGCCUCCCCACUUGGUUCAGAAAAACGAGAGGAGAUUAGAAUUCAAUUUAUGAUAGGAAAAAAACUAAGUGGAAAGAUAUUUCUGAGACAAAAUUAAAUCAUAUAGUUUCCGUCUACAAAGUUUUAAAAGAAAAUGCCCAUUCUUUGAACUAAGUAAUAGAAAUACCUCGUCUGCUUCCCUGUUAUUCUGAGGAUAAGUACCAACAUCGUGAGUCUGAGGACUAGAUGGUGGACUGUCGUCCAAUUGUAUAGCUUCCUUUGAAGAGUUGCCUGCUUCAGAAGCAACAUGUCUAGAAUGGCGCCUCACCAAAGGCUGUUCAUCUAUCUCUUCUGAUUCAUCUUCAUGGGAGCGAUUUCCUUCUGAUAGAAAUUGCCUUGAUGUUCCACUAUUUGAUGUACCGGGCUCUUCCCUCCUACAGCCAACGAAAAUGUAUCAGUGCUUGAAACGAAACAGCAAAGAACAGGAAAGUAAAUAAAAUACUGUUAAGUUUUCCUUCACAGAGAAUUUCAAGUUCAAUUUUAGAUGAUAAGAGAAUGGUUCUCGUUGUUAAGGUUGCUGAUUCCUUUCAUUAAAAUAAACGAUACUGUGAUAAGAAAAAAUUCAAAGAAGUUCAAUUAUACAUAGUAAAUGUCCAUCCGUAUGGAUGGAUAACUUUGGUGUUCAUUCCCAUUAUUAAAUAGACAUUGAUUAAAUUCAAUUCAUAUCAUCCUUAUUUAGAAGAACUAAUCGCUAUGAUUUUGAAUCGUAGACGACAACAGGCAACCUCAAAAAAAACCACAACUUUCAAGAGCUACAUUUGUAUUCGUCUGGGCUCUCAGGGUUUUGACAUUCUGUCAUGCUCAAAUCUCCUAACUAAGAAAUUCCAGAAACAGGACCACACUAGUAGAAUACGAUUGGUACUAUCAACGUCGAGAUACCAUAGGGAUAUCAUAUUUAAGUGAAAACAGCGAUGCGAUGAAGAAAGAAAACAAUCAUAAGAAAAUUCUUAACAGAAAUGGAAAAUACAGUGCAGCGUAAACACACAGAAUCCACCUUCUAUUAAUGGUUGGCUUGGUCUUCUCAUCAAGUUCUACUAUAGAUGAUGAGCUAGCAUGCCCCAUUUGAUCAAUAAGAAUACCCUUCUCAUGUGGUGUUCUUUCUUGUUCUGCUGUCUGCAGCGUGACAUAAAUAUCAAACAAAUAUAAUAUAAAUAUAUCAAAAAGAGAGAAUACAAAAAAAUCCUAUGAUUGAAAAACCUUCAAAGAUAAUGAAACUGCACGAGCAAGCUCAGGGUCCUCCAAAGGAUGAUGCCUUUCUGGUAACUGGCCACUAUAUGGCACCUAAAGUAGUAUGAAAAUAGCCAGAUGCUCAAGAAAAAAGAACAACAAAGAAAACGAAGGGAAAAAAAUAUACAAACAGGGCAAAGACAUACACUAGGCGCAUCAAAUUCUAGGCUCGAAUAUCUCUGAGCGUCACGUUUUGAAGCUUCAAUAGCAGCCUUGAUCAUUUCUUCUUCAAUGUCAUUGUUAUCAGCCACCAUGCCCACCUGAGGAGCGCUAGGUUCAAGAACUGUCAUACGAGGAUGAUCGUACCUUUCUUCAGUUUGGCCAGCAACAGAAGGAUUCAGUGCAACAGGAAGGUCCUCAUCUUCUUCACCCACAGUAACAAGCCCAAAAGUUUCUGAUCCAACCACACUAUCAUUUUCAGCAAGAAAUUCAAUGUUUGGCCCAUGACUGGACAGACCAGAAUGGCUGUUGUCAUCCUUGAAUUCUAUGGGAAUCUCCCUCACUUCACGAGGAUGUGAAACUCUCGGAGCACGGCUUCUAACGUCAACAUCGCCUCUCCUGCCAAAGGAUGUUCUGCCAAUGUGCUCGUCCAAGAGUGAGAAUGGGUUGACACUCCCACUGGCUGAUAACGCUGGGAAAAGAGGUCCCACUGUUUCAACAUUUAUGGGUUCAUCUAUAUCCAUGAUGUCAUCAUGUGCAGCAGGAGCCUCUGCGAGACGUGAGCUGGAUAAAGACAUAAACAUUCAGCUAAAAACUUAAAUAACGAAGAAAAAUUAAAGAAUCCUCUCAAUCAACUAUGAACUUGAAGAAAAAUGACGAGCAGAUACAUACUUGACUCUCUCUCCUUCGCUAAAGUGGGCAUUCAGAGCUGCACUAAGAUCCUCACCAUGCUCCUAUAUUUUGAUCAAAUUGAGAAAGCACAUUAAGUCAAAUGAAGGCAUGCCCCGAAACAAGAGUUAUGGUAGUGAAAAUUUAAUCCUAUAGAAUUUUUUCAAGAUGAUCAACAAUAUUAAACCACCUACUAACAAUUGGACAGAUGUAACAUAAGGAACAACAAUAGAUGAAAGUAUUCAGCUAAAACGUAUUCAGCCAAUUACCCAAAGAGACUGUACACAUCCAAGCAGUGCAUGCAAUCAUUUAGGACAAAGUGGAUGGUUCAGCAUGACUAAGACAUGCUGAACGUCCUGAGAUAAUUCGGGAAAAAUAAGAACGGUGUUCGGUAGGAUUCCCAAUAUAAUUGGCCUCAGUACUUCUGUGGAGGCUUCUAACUUGGAAGAGGACAAUUUUAUUCUCAUUAAUGAAAAAGAGAUCCAACCACACUUGUCCGUAUACGCACCAACUCGAAUUUCAGAUACAUAUCAGAUGUGCACACAAACUAGUCAUAUGAUAACCAUCUCCAAAAAAAUCUGUAGUCCUGACGAAAGCAGAUGUUUUGUUAACAAGGUUCUAGUAAAUUAGCCGACUCUCUAAAUAACCAAUUUUUAAUACCCGUUGAAAAUUGUGAAGAACUUGAGUUCUUCUUCCCAAACUCCUCUACAGGUGAAAAACAGAUGGACUACAAUGUUUCACUAUGCAAAUAUCAGCCUACACAUGGAAAGGUUGCCAUUAUAGUUAAUCCCUUGCGCUCAUCUAUAUGCUUCUGCACAACAAUGCCUCGUCCGAGUAAUCAUUUUUCCGCUAAAGAUGGAAACUAAAGUUAUGAGCAGUAUAUUUCUAGUAAGAACAAAUGAUGCCUGUAUGUUGAAACCAAAAAAAGUUCCAUAUUUCACUUUCUUUAGCAACUGGCAAGCCGGUGGGUUUAUAAAAGUAAUUAGGCCGCACCUCGAUUGCGUUUUAGGGUGCUACACUCGCUAAAGAAUAAAACCACCUGAUGUCCCCUACAAACUAGCAAGGACUAAAUCAAUAAGCCAACACUUCUUUUAAGAUAGUAAACCGAGUAAAUAUAUUUCUCACAGCGGCAAAAGGGCUCAAGAGAGAUCUAACGAAGUGUUUUCGCCCGACAGAAAUGUCAAUGGCGCGAGUUUCAGCCUCAGACAGCCAGAGAAAACAGCAGCAAACGAUUUCCAUUGUUUAAGAGGGGUGCCAUGAAGAUAGCAUUAAUUUUGACGGAAAUGGAAAAGAAAAAAAUCAUCCCUUCCCCAAAGAGUAGUUGUGAUUCGUCAAUCGCAUUUCCUUAUCGUCUCGACGCGUACGCUAACCGCGAUACGACGAAGUAGAAAACUCGAACAAUCUUCAGGGUCAAAUGGCGUCGCGAGGAAAAGAUCCACGCGGGCGUCGAUUCACAACUACGGCACGAAACAUUUGAAGCGAGAAGAAGACGACGAGAACCCGGGGAUAAGAAGACGCGGUUGUUUUGCCGGCAAAGAGCUGUACCUCCAGUUUCUGCAACGCCACCGCCUCCGAAGCCCCGGUGACGCUCAUGAAGGUCUCGAUCACGUCCUGCUGCGGCCUCCCCAUCGGAGCUCCCACGACGAAGCGAAAAUCGGCGGCAGGUAACACGCUUUCCUCCUCCCCCUUCCAACCCAAUCCCGACGCAACCCGUCGGAGGUGGAAGGACGAAGAAAAAUCUGGGAAUUCUCGCGGAUUUUCCCUCCCUCCCGGCUAUAUAUUUUUCCAGGAGCUCGCCCCCGGGAACAGAACAGGUGUUGCCGCAGAGGCGGCUCCUUCCGCUGUGCCGCCGACGUGGGACUCUCCACAGAAGCAUUACUUGCAACUGAAGACUACCCUCCUGCGAAAUUCCAAUUAUACCCCAUGGGAGGGAGAUCUCGUCACCGAAAAGUCGGUGGCAUGCGGUUAGGUUACCGAAAACCCCGCCUAAUUACCGCACAUAAUCCGAAGGAGAAAUAUAAAUAAAUAUUAUCGUAGAAAUCACACGACUGUAAGUUUUUUUAAUUAUUUACAGUGAAAAUAGCGUUUAUUAAAGAAGGCCUCUGCACCAGAAAUGGAUGUCUUGAAUUUCUUUUCAUGACUGAAGGUGAUACAUUUUAAUAUCCCCAUAUGAUAUAAAAAUAGACCCACAUUAUAUUAGCUUUUAAUAGAUCUGCCCAUUUACAUCCCGUAAUGUGAGUGAUUCACAGUUUGAUCACUGAGAUUUCCAUGGGCUUUCUUCGAGUACGGCCUGACCUUCCUCUGGGUCUGAUGGUGCUCCGGGGCAUGGCUCCGAUGGUGGCGGCCAUGGUGCUUGUGCCUGUGCAUCUUUUGAUGAACAUGGAGAUGGCGGUGGGAGGGAGCACCUCGGGGGCCACCAUCUUCUUCCAGCUUAGAGGGCUCGUGCCUUGGGCACUUUUUAUGGGGACGAUGGCUGGCUUUCUUGCUCCAUACUUCGUCAUGGUGGUGCCAGUCCCUGCGGUGCAGACGAUCAUCUCGGCCCUUUUUUGGAUGGGCAUGGUGGGGUCUAUGAUCCUUUGUGUGCUUGGAGUGAUCUUCCCACCAGUCGUAGAGAGGAUCGAAGAGCCCUUUUUGGUGUAAGAGCCAUAGGAGGAUGGUGACUGAAAUGGGAAUGACGUGGCAUUUUUACGUACUCGGUCAGGACUUGUAAGCGUUGACUAAUAGAAGGUCAAUGAAGUCACCUGAUGGAAAGAUGGCGAGUAGCAGCACGAAUAGUAUGAUCCAACUCACACAGACGUACUGAAUGUGACAACCAAAGUCGAAGAAACUUGAGCAUUUGCUUCUGUCCCAAGAAAAAGGUGAUCAUAUCAGUUCAGAUCUUCAAGAAUGCAUCUUUUUCGAUUUAUGAAUCGCCCAUCGAUGAAUGAUUUUGGUAAAUAAAAAGAUUAUACUGUUUCCUCCCAUCCACGCCAUCAGAGGAGCUGUUUCUGGUGGCCAUGAGAUUAUUGCAGGUGUAGGAAGAAAUUCAUUUUAAUAUUUUUAGUGAACCCAGGUUCUCGAGCUAGAUCAAGAACAGACAUUGGUCAAUCCUACCCAAAUCAGCUGAUUCUAUGCAUUUGACCGCCGGUCAGAUAAAUCUAAGAGCUCCUGAGUCAGCUUGACUAGCCCGAUCCAAGACAAGAUCUUUCUUUUCUUACACGACAGCAAAACAUCCAUUGUGAAAGUGCAAGCUCAAUAUUUGAAGUUAUGACGGGACUCCUCAAUUCUCUCCAUAAAUAGUCCUUCAGAAACGGUUGAUAUUUUUCUCAAGCACAUCGAAAUCAAUACUAAUAUAUCCUGUGAUGUCAAUGGGUAAUCAAUGACCUACAAAAUAGUAUUUUAAAAAAAUUAUAGUUCAGCUUCCCAAUUAAGGUCCAAAUAAGUCCAUGCCUACUUCCACACAAAAAAAUAGUUUUCCCAUAUUUUAGCUUCAAAAAAUUGGAUGCCCACGGUUGAAAUUUUAGAAUUCAUAGAAGCUGAAUCCCACAAGUAGACAUUAUUCCAGAUAUACUAAGCAAUGAAAGGUAAAAGUUCUGAACAUACUACAUCGAAUAUCUGCAUUGAAGGAUGCCAUUUUUAUUAAACAAUUUUCACAUUCAUAUAAGUUUUCAUGAUUAUGACAUUCAAUUUGUUUAAUCACAUAAGGUUUCAGGAGUGAUCCAUUGGUUUACUGCUUCGUACUAAAAUAUUAUGCGUCUCCAUCACUUCCAGGUUAUGAAUACGUCUAAUUAAAGAAGCUCAAUAAUCAAAUAUCUGAUUUCAACACUAGCAUAGAAAUCAUUUAAAAGGAUUUUGCUGUUUUUUUCUAUCCUGUAAAGUCAAUCAUGCAAAAUCCUUUUAAUAUUCCAUACCUGCAUGUUUUGCCAGUGAAGAAGUCAGCCAAACCUCCCCAUACAGAAUUCCAUACGCCUUCAACAGCUUCAAAAAAACCUUUGAUGGCACCCUUUUUCAAGCCAUAACUACUACCAAUCUGCUGUUAGAUUAUAAAAGCCUAUAAUCAUCAGACAGCUUUCAGCCAAAGAGUCGGUUGAAAUGUAAUUUCAUGAGAUUGUAUAGUUCCCAUAUUUAUAUAACAAGGAUUAUCAAGUAAACAGCGAUAUCAAAAGAGUCAACAAAAGCUAUAAUACCCCUUCUUAGUUGUCUCUUGAGUUGCAAAACCUAUGUAUGUUUUCUACGCGGUAGAAACUGAAGAGUCAGUGUGUAUGUGAGCGAGCAUAGUUUAGCAACCUUAUUAAAAAUAUCCUAUGUUGAAUCCAAUGUUUAAGAAUGAAAUAUACUUCAAUUAUUGUCAAUUGGUUUUUAAAUCAUGUCGUCUCACUUAUUUAAUAUGGUAUCAAAGUUUUUCACAUGGUAGAGACGUAAUCUAUCUACAUGUAAGGGGGCAUGCUAGAAUGUGUCAUAAGGAGAACUCAUAUGGACUCAGAUAUACUAUCCGUUAUCUAAUCAUUUUCAUUUGAAUUUCAAUUGAAUGAACGGAUUCAUUAAUAGGGUACUAAAGUUCCUAACCAGUUAUGGGUUAUGCAGCUCUUUGGUACAAGUGAGGUAAAUGUUAUAGUUAUAUCACAUUGAAAUGAACGACUGCGUAUUUUGAUUAACAUAUUUAGGCUUAAUCUACUCAUUAACAAUUAGUUUUGAGCUAGACAACCCAAUUCUUUAGUAAACCUAUUCAAAUGUACAAGAUCCCCCAAUUAUUUACAGAUUACCAGUUGGGAAAGUUUCGAUGUAUGAGAGGAAGUUGAAUCAGGUCUAAAGUUGGAUGAUGAAUUCUAUGAAAAUGAAAUGGAAUAGUUCAAUCAACCUGUGUUCCAUUGUCUAGAACAGUAGCUGUAGUUGUAAAUUGGCACUCAGCCCUAUCAAUCUCACUGAAAUCAGAAUCUUUAAGUAUCGCUGCAAUCAGACAGAUCACCGUCAUGUUAGACUUUGCAUGGCAAAAGUUGAAAAAUUAUUAACUUUCAUUACUAUUCUGUAAAUUUGUUUCACCAGUGCAUUCAUAUUUUGCAGCCUGAUCAGUAGUCGGAUAUAGCUUGAAUGAACGAGUAACAAACUCACUAGGUUUCAUAAUAAAGAACUGCUCCUGCAAUCAGAAAUCAUGAUAUCUAAAUUAAAUUAAAAUUAUUUCCAGAAGUUCCUUGAAAAAUACAAAUUGAUCGGAAGGAAACGUUGCACUUUCCGUAAAACAUGCCACUAAGCCGCCCAAAAUAUAGUUAUACAAAAAAAUAAAUUCAGAAUAAUAAUUCAUGUAGUCCUCACGGCGAAAAUGAACACAUAUAUAAGUGUAUGUAUCCUGGUACAUGCUUUCUUGAACCCAUCUUUCCACCAGAAUGACAUUAACCUCAUGUGCCCGCACCGGUUUCUACCAGGAGAUGAUCAAGAUGAAUACGAAUCCUGGUCAACUAUGUCUCCACUAAUCAAUAAACUGGGAAUUUGAUUAAAUUGAGGUUAAUCCCUGAUAGAUAUAUUAACUUUGAUGAAAGUUAAUCUCCUUAACCGUUUCCAGGGAAAAUUCAUUUUCAAAUAGAUAAAUAUUUUAAUGUUCCUCCAUAAACACAGUAAUAGUUUAAAUACACGGAAAAGAUAUAUAAAAGUAAAUAGAAAUUAUUUGACGUUCCGGAAAUUCCAUGUAUUUGAACUGAUGUAGUAGAGAGAUAAUCGAUAAAUCACUUACCAACCUAUGCAACAAAAAUACCCCGUAUGAUAUCAAAAUAAAGAGAAAAAAAUCCGAUAAGAAAAAUAACUGGCCAUCUGAUUUUAUUCAUCAAAGAAUCCAGUACAUCCGUUCUUAGCACAAAACCUGAGAUAGAACCGAAAUGGAAUGACUUAAUCCGUUGAACGAUUGCUCAGGUAUCAUCUAAAAAAUCAUUUGAGAUUCCCAUCAUUAAAAAUCCACUUCGGUUCAACCGUAUGAUUCGUAAUGUACAGAAAAUGAUCAUCUAGAACAAUGUAUGCUGAAAUUUUGAGAUAUCCAAAGCCGGUUACUGACCACAAAAAUUGAAAAUAGUACGCUACGAUCAGACCUUUAUGCAAUCCCAUUCACGCUGCGAAAUUGAAAAUCAAAGACUAAAAUAUUUUUAACAUGAUGGUCAGAUCUUGAAGGAAUGUAUAAGUUUUUACCAAGCCUGAACAAAUAGAAAAUUCCAAGUUCAGUAUGCUCAAGAAUUUUGUACACAACUCUCACGCAGACAAGGCAAACUGUAUUAAAUAGAAUGGAUAUCAGGUUUUGCGGUUACUGAUGGAAAAUAACUAUUUUGAGUGGUUAAAACCACCCCCAAAAACCAGGGAAACUCAUGAUAAAUGGAAAUUCCAAUGACUGAGCUGCUCUUAAUUUUCAAAAAAUGGAAAUCAGUGUUUUCAUAUGUCAAUAUGAAAAAGAAAAGGAAGAAAGAGGAUAUGCAUUUACACAAACAUAAUUGAGAACCGGAAGAAAAUACCUCCGUAUGGCUAACACCUCGCAGGCAUUGAAACUGCAGUGUAAAGGUAGAAAAUAAAUAUUUUACGCAAAACUGCAUGAAAACUUUCACCAAGGACAGUUAUAAAAUAAAAUUGUACUAUCAAUUCGAAAAAAUCAUAUCAAUAAAUAAUACAGGAAGAAAACAGAUUAAUGCCGAUGAGCUUAGGAGUAGAAUCUGAGAAUAUCCAAAACAGUCAAACAUGAAAAUAGAAAAUUUUCAAUGAACAGAAGGUUAGACAUAUAUUUUCAGAAUGUAUCAAUUAAGAUGAGGCAAAUAACAGGACAGAAGAAAACUUAUGAAAUAAAAAAGGAUCCUAUUUUAUGACCAAUUAAGAGGAAAUAUUUCAUCGAGCAGUACAAAGGGAUGAGCACAUGCCACUUCGGAAGAUUAGAUACACAUGAAAAAUGCUUUUACUUAUUCAAAAGGAACUGUUUAGAUUACUAGGAUUUCUAAUUAAGAGAUUUUUAGAAAUAAAUACAAUAAUUCAAUGCACUUGCAUGAAGUCGGACAUUGUUGGCACUUACUUAAAGGAAAGGAAAGGAAAGAACUUACACUAAUUAGAAUAAGGUAUAAUUGAGUGUAUGGAUGAACGAUCCAUAAUUACAUGCAAUUAGGAUUAUUUUAACUUAAUUGUGUCGUGGUUUUUAAGAAAACUAAACUCUAUGAUCCCACUAAAUGAAGGAUAUUAUGCUAACUAUUAUUCAUCAGAAAUAUGCAAGUUUAAAAAUAUCCUUUUAUAGUAACAAAAAAAACAAGGUUAGAAGUGUCCUUUAAGAAAGACAAAGCUUAAAGAGUCUAUAUAACUUCCGGUUUGAUAUCUUUCAUGAUAACAUGGUAGGCUCUGUCACAAUAUAAUUCAGAACCCCCUUGUUCCCUGGAGCCGAUCACAUCAAAUUCUGAAAUAAAUUGGCAUUUUGGUAGGAUAAAAGAAUUAAAUUUCCAACCAUAUAGUUGAUCAAAUGUAAGAAGAAAAAGCUCGUAUAUGGAGACUGUAAGAAUUGAUAGUCUUAAAUUUAUAUUUGAACUUCUGGAAAACACACUGGCAGUAAUCAUCAAAUCAAUUCCAAUAAAUAAUCCUAAAUAUGAUCGCAUGACAAGAUACUAAAUAGGAUAACAUGAUAAAAACACUAGAUUGGCGAAAUGAUAUGAUAAAAAUACUAAAUAGGAUCACGUGAUCUAGGUUACUGCUGAAGUACAUAAUGCUCCGCCUGAAAGAUGGUUGGUUAUGGCACAGGAUAAAAAUAAGAUUACUCACCAAUGGUUCAGGAUAACGUGUUGGAAAAAAAAAGGUAAAAUCCUGCUUUAAUCUUAAAUAGAAAAAAAGAUGGAUUGUGCAGUAGCAAUAAUACGGUAGAAUUAUUAUGCCAUCAUAAUAGCAUAAAUAUUUUUUUUAAUCUUUUGAGUUUCAACGGUACCUUAUUAAAUUUCCAAGAUAUAUAGUUUUGUUGUUUUAUGCAUAAUAAUGAUCCAAGUCUACUAUUUCCUCUGUAAGAUAACAAGUUUUGACAGAGUCGAAGAACCUUUUGUAAUUUCAUGACUUUUGAAGGAUGGGAGCCAUCUUAGGUGUAAAAUGAGAUAUUAAAUCAUAAUUAGAUAAAUAAUAAUGCACAUCUGAAACACUUACUGUUAGGCUGUAAGAUGCCUCCAAUGUUCCAAUGUUCUGGACCGUUAUUUUGGCAGUACCAAACUGAGUAAGCGCUUCGAACGUUGGAAUACUGACAUUCACAAUCUUUCCUGGACUCCUGGUAAAUGGUACAAGUACAAUGAUCAAAGAAUAUUGAAUUAUUUAAGUUCAUUUACAUUAUUUAUUAAAAUGAAUGAAAAAACAGCAAACGGAAAGAAGAAAAAAAGGACAUUCCUCCCCUUCUUCCCCAAGGAUAUUCAAAAAUUUAGAAUGACUUUAACUAUAUGAGAUAGUCAAAACACUCAUCCUCCUAAAAAAAGUAAUACAUAUGCAUUUUUAUCUUACAAAUGUCGAGGUUCUUAGUCUUAUGAUUAAUUUAAUGUUUUUCCAUCGAAUUAUGUUUGUACCUUGUUUAUAAAUGUUCAAUAAAUAGUUUUAAAUAAAUUAAGUUACAGCUACAUUUCACCCCGCCUACUUAAAUACGCAUGUGGUGAUGAAUCACCACCGUCGUCAACGUGAUCCCCUUUAAAAUCUAGCCAAAUAAUGUACAAAGUAGCAAUGCCAAUGUGUAACACAAAACGUUUGAUCUUAAAAUUUUGUAGGCAUGUGGGCACUUGAAACAGAAAUCAACGAACUAUGUUAUCGAAAUUUGAAGUGAAAAGAAUUCGCAAAAACUUUGUUGUGGUGGUUACUUGACGACAGGAUAUAACCUGACGCAAUGGAAUUGAUCUCUUACAGAAAUUUUCAAGAAUAAGGAAGCCUAAUGCAACAUGUAAACCUAGAAUUAUACAGCAAACAAGAAAAGUGAGACAGAGUGUAGGGAAAAGAAGAUAAGAAAAAAAUCAUGGUUUUGCAAGUGAAAACAGAAGUCAAAGAAAGGAUGAGUAGUGACGUCAAAUGAUCAAAGGCACAAGCAGUAAAUUAACAGAGCAGAAAAACUCCAGGAAUCCUCAAUUUGGGGUUCUGUAUCCAUGACUAUUUCAGUCCUUGUAACAAUUUUCUGCUUCACAGAAAAGUCUAGUAGAACCAGGGCCAUCCAGAAACUAGACCCGUUAUUAGAGCAUUCUUUUAUAAAUGAAUCCCAAAAAAAAAUUCUACAACCAACUUGGAACAGCUAAUAUUGUUGGUUAAGACAUCUGAUUUUUGCUAGAUAACUUUCAAUGUUCUCAAAAAGUAUUUUAUAAUUCUAAUAUAAUGUAUGAAUUGUGUAUUUUAUGUAGUCUAUUCCAUGUAACAAAAGUCAAUGACUAGAUAUUAAGUAAGACGAUAAAUCAAGCAAGUCAAUGACUAGAUAUUAUGUAAGACGAUAAAUCAAGCAAGUCAAUGACUAGAUAUUAAGCAAAACGAUAAAUCAAGCUUUUUUUCAAUCCAAUAAAUUCUCCUGCUUAAAGUUACACGUUCAUGGACGGUAUCGAUUCUCUUGAUGCGAAUUAUGGUAUCAAACAGACAACGGAUGAUAAAAUUGUUUUAUCUACUGUAGCAACAAAUGGAUCACUUAUCCUUCAUUAGCCAGACCUAUUUGCACCUCUAAAUAAGAUAUCAUUGCACUGCAUAGACGUGACUAGUAGUUUCUCUUCAAUGAUGAUAUAGCUUCUAUACAUGCUCUUUAAGAAGAAAUGAGGCAGAAGUUUUGAUUACCUCUGAUAGACAUACUCUAUGUCAUCAGCCCUCAGUUCAAUCAAGAGAUUUGUAUUCAGAACUUCAGAAAUUCCUAUAGAAAAUGAAUGUGUUCCUGCAUUCUGGACAAGACUCAUAGAUGACGUUCAGAGACAGUAACAAGCAUUUUUAAAUAUUAUAAACCAUAGAAAAAAAAAAAAUAAUAUAUAUAUAUAUAUAUAUAUGUAUAUAGGAGCAUAACUGGAUGCUGGUUAACUCUUUCAAACCUCCCUUCAAUAACAUAUUGGGGUGUCUGAUUCCUGCUGAUUCUGUUUUGAUCAGCCUAAAAUGAACAAAUAUUAACACAGUUAAAUCCUAAAAUUAUAAAAAAGGGAAAAAUAAACUUUGAAUAAAUAUAUUUAAUGGUAUGUAUAAAAGUUUAUCAACAAAAAAGUGAUGGGUCAUACAACUGAAGCUUCAUUUACAAAACUGAAAAUUGAUUGAGGUGGGUAUCGCGCAUUUUCAAUACCCUAAAUUCAUGAAAAAUAAAAUGUCAUGCAAUAUUUGAUUUUAGCUGAUUGGGGUGUGCUUUCAUCUCAAGGCCUACAUCCCGCCCCAACAGCCAUGAUUUCCAAAAAGAACCAGUGUCUCUUCAUUUUGGUAUUCCUCCAAGUCUAAGAAUCAAAAAAAAUAUAUUCAAAAAGAUUCCACUUUUUAACACGUGAUUAGUUUAAACCUGAAAUUAAGAUAGAUAAUCGCACAAUAACUAAGUUUAUGUGGAGUCUCAUCAAAACAAAAAUAGACAAUAUCCAAUCUUAUCCUCAGGGUUAGUAAAUGAACUAGCUAAUAUUUUCCUCAUGUCUGAAGAUAUAAUGUCUUUAUCCAACCUAUAUCAACCUAAUACGAGAAAGGCAUUGACUAAGAUACUAGCUAGUCCACGCACUACACGCCACUCAAUGCAAUGAAAUUGUGCCAGGUCUGGGGAUAUGAUUGGACAGGCGUAAUUUUAAGUAUGGGAUGAUUAAAAAGUAGUCCUGCAGAUCCUUCACUAAAUAACCAACUUUUUCUACUCUGUCACCAGGUAUCAUGCUCAGCUGAUUUCUCCACAUAGUGCAAGUCAAAUUAUUCCGGGUCACACAAAAUACGUUACCAAACCAGAAUAAAUUUAUAGUUAUGUCUUAAAGAUGUCUCCUUUAGUUACAUUCUAUGCACUCUCAUAUUAUUUUUUUCUGGCACCACAUAAGUAUCUAAAUAUAAAAAACGUUCCUAAUUUUAAAAUUUUAUUGUCUUUACAAUUACUAUAUUUAGAAGAUUCGUCAUUAAAGAUUUUCAUAUUGACCCGAAAUUGUAGCUUACUCUCAUCACUCAUGAUUUGAUUAGUACUAACUACGCCUAAUUCCACAGAAGAAUAUAUUUGAACCAAGGAGCAUAAUGUAGCAAACGCAUCUUGUUACUAAGAGAACAAAGUCUAUAUUUUUUUAAAAUCACGUGUAUAAUUAUCUCUAUAUUUUAGAAAUAAAUGAUACCUCGACAUCAGAUAAAAAGCUUCAGAAGAAGCGAAAAAAAAAGAUCAAUAUAUAGUAGAAAAGGUUUGAAUAAAUUACUCUUUCAUGAUUCAUUUUUAUCAAGAGAAUCCAGAAAAUUAGCACAUAUAUGGUUUAGGAAAUACUUACUUCCCAAAAGUCCGAUAACUGGUUGUGCAAGCAACUCCAUAAUGGAGACGAACAAAAGUUUGGCUGCUCCCGAUAUGCUUCAUAACCGACACCAACUUUGUUGCACUCGAGACCGUCUAAGGUAAAUCUUACUCUUUCCAGCAGCAUCCACUUCGAAAGAUUGUUUGCAGCGCCUUGUGAUGGAUCCGAGUUACCCUUCAAUAAAUAAAUAACUAUUAAGCAUGAAAAGACCCAGGGAAAUCACCGGGUGCUAGGUUGAGCUUAUGAAGUAGGCAUAAAAAUUAUACAGAACAGAAAAUUAUUAACUUUAUUCUAUACUAAAAUUUCGUAAAAAGUUUCAUUCUACAACAUACGAUGGUGUCAUCGAAUGAGGACAAAAUGAUUGAAAAGAUGAUAAACUCAUACAACUCUCUCAAGCCGAAAGAUUAUUCUUCCCUUAAUGAAUCUAAUUUCCCUUUUUUAGUUCUUUGAGUCAGGUUUUUCGCUUGUGUGCAAAUAAAGAAAUCGGAGUAUCUGACCUUUGGAUCCAAGAAAAACUCAUUAUCAGAAAUAAAGAAGCUGUAUGAGUCACGGAAUUAGUUGAGAGAAGAAACUCACGAGAUAAACUAAUAGCAUGCCUAUAGGAAAAGCCUAAUCUUAUCCUUUCACUGCUAUGACUUUUUCUUCUCAUUAUUCUUCAAUUAGACACAAAUCUGCUCAUAUGACUAUUCCCACCAGCUACCUUCACAUAACAGGUGAGCAUACGUGAUAUACUAUUAUUAUUGCAUCCAUCUAUGGUUUAUUACAUUCUAUUAAGUGAAUACGUUGCUUAAACCACAGGAAUCUAACAUGAUGAAAAAAAAUUAGUUAAUUAGUGUUAUCAAGCAGAGACCAUAAAUGAAAACCCUUAAAGGUGUAAGGCCCGCACAGAAAAAAAAUACAAGUGAGCAUGUUUUUCGUCGAUUUAUUUGGCUAUAAAGGAUCCCAUACCAUUCUUGGAGUUACAAGAUAGAAGUCUUCAAAUGAUGGAAUAUUAGUAUAUCCAACAAAAUCACCGACAAGGCUAACCCUCAAGAAGUUGUCUUUCGACAGCACUGUCCUAUUUUCAGGACCAACGACCACCUCCUGCAGGGAAUCACAAGGGGAAAGACAGAAUAAGAACCACUGAAAAAACACCAUGAAACACAGAAAAGUGACUAUAAAAAUCAACCACAGAGCAAUGAAAAGGCAGUCAUAUAUUUGUCCUAUUCUCUAUGUAAAACCAACUCGAGACUGUUCCAAACAGAGGAACUCGGUUUGGAUAAAUGAAACCCAAGUUUCCCAGUUGACCGGCGCUACAACAUGAAUGAAAGGAUAGGAAAAGGAUAAUUGCAGAAAUGCGACGCAUAGAGGUUUGCGAACUUUAAGUAAUGUAGAAAGUACAUGGUAAACGACGUUAGGCCUUUUUUCAUCUUAGGUGAUUAAUCUCUCAUGCUCAAGUCUGGCACACAAACUCUAGAUUUCCAAAAAUUUCUUUGAAGGAACAACUUUUGAAUUCUAGAUCAUCUUAUUAGAGCUCUCAUUAUCCUCAGCCGUCACUUAUGUUUCGAUCCUUCUAGAACAUUGAAUUUCAACAGCUAAUCUCAUCUAACUAGAGCCACAUCUGCCAGGGUAAUCUGAUGCAAGUCAUACGAGGAUAAACAGUCGGGAAAAAUCUCUUCAAACAAGGAUGCCAGUUGUAUACGAACUACCCAGGUUAUGGAAACGGAAAAACUAGGAAAUUGACCAACAGAAGUAAAGUCCAGAUAACACGUUUAUCCUCACAUAAUAAUAUGUUCUCAAGGUUGUAUUAAUAAGAAAUCACCAUCUUUAAUUCUUGUACCUUCUAUGAUAUAACUAUACGGCCUAAUACAGCAUCAAAUCCUAAAAAACGACAGUCAUACAGAAAGCACGUGAAACAGAAAGCCUAAACACAAACCCUUCGGAUUCUCUUACUUGAUUAAUUUAUCAAUAUACCUCGAUAAUUGAGCUCGGAUUAUAGAAAUUUCAUACGCAAGAAAUCUCAUGUUCAUUGAUGUACAAGCCUACCUGAUCUGCUUUUCCUUCUUAAAACCCCGAGGCCAUAUUGUCCUACCCUGAUUUCCCUUAUUAAACCGCCCUUGGACUAAAAUAGCUCAAAACUUCCACAGUAAUGUAUCUGUGGGCUUUCCUGGGGCAUCCAGCUUGGAUAGCCAUUGAGUCUGGUUUCAGCAUUAAUGGAUCAAACUUCUCCUUAGGACCUAACCCGGAGAAAAGAACCAGUCGAAAAUCCCCUUGCAAAAACGGCUCCAGAUCCAUCGGUGAGCACCUUCAAAAAUCUGGCUUUCCGGGAAUUAUUGGAUGUUCAUGCAGAAUUCCUCAUCCAUUGAUAUUGGGUUUAAUCCCAAUUUCAAACGUAAGCGAACCCAAUUGCGGGCAGGAAGUAUCUCAAACACAAUCAGAUAAAUUUUAAAGAAAAAUCAUCUAUGAUCAAAGCCAUGAAGCUUCAGGGAUUGGGCGAAGAUGCUCAGUAACAAAUCCGUUUUGGAGGCAACCGUUGUUUCAUAUCUCAUGAUUACAUCUUAUAAACCGAAGUCAUGUAAUGAUGAUCACUUUCAAAACGAAAACCUCUAGCUUGAUGGUGAUGAAAGAUGACAACUGUGGAUGGAAUGUGAUUAAGUGCGUAUGGUUCAUUGAGGUGCAGUAUGCGUUGACAAGUAUAGCCAAGAACAUGUGGCUGCUAAGUCAUUCAAAUUAGGCAUUCCAUUUCAGGUUAAAUGAAGCCAAAAGGUUAAAAGUAAACUCACUGAUGUUGUUGACCCUUUUUUCACUUCAAUUCGAACACUGAAUCCAAGUGAUCUCUUUCCAAUACCAAACACGUGGAACCUUCAAUAGUGUAGUAUCACGACAUAUUACAAUUUGAGGGGAAAAAAAUGGUAGCAAGUAUACUAUAAUUAAUCGAUAUAUUGAAAAUAAAAGGGCUAUCUCUGAAUAUAAGACAUUAUAUCUCAGGCUGUAGUGUUGCUUGAAGAAUUUAUGUUUUAAGAGUUACGGAAGCAAUGAAACUAAAGAUUUAAAGCCCAGUAUGGUAGACAAGAUGAUCAGUUCUUAAACAUCAUCAUAAAAAACCCCCCAUAUUUCACUAAAAAACAGAAUUAUGGCCUUUCACUGGAUUCAAUGCUAUAAUGGAAAGUAAUUCAGUGAUGUCCGGAUAAUAGGAAAAAAAAUGAAGUAGAAAAUAGGGAGGAAAAGAAGACCCCCUGGUUGUAGAACCAAAAAUAGCCCGUUUUGAUCCAAAGCAGGUCAGCAUGUUAUCGGCCAAAUCAGUCAUUUAAUAUGCGAGGAUGAGCGAGGAUGAGCAUUUUAUUAUGUAUGAAAUAUGAAGUUUAUAGUAAAUUGGUAAAUCCCUCACACGGUUACGUCACUUUUACCAAGCAGUGGCAUCUUGAAUGUGAAAGCGAGAUGCCACCCAUUUAAGAUUUCAUAAAUUUCUGUUCGUUGGACAAUAAUUGAAAAUAUUUAUAGGUAAAAAUUGGAUUUUCUUUCUCUAGUUCAAAGAAUCUUGUCGCCACGGAAAAUAUGAACACCAAGAGAGUCACUAGCCUUACCAUUCACCCGGGAAUCGAACACAAUGUGCUGUGUUUGCCUUGCCUUUCAUCAAUUUAUCAACUGUUCAGAAUCAUUUGAGGCAAAUCAGCGAGACUGCAUGGCUAACACAAUAACAGGAAAAAGGAAAAAAAAAGCAAUCGAAAUCAUUUUGAAGCUUACACAUGUUUCCACAAGAGGAUGGAACACGACGUCUGGAUCCACAGGGACAGCAGAUAGGCUACAUAAACAGAGAAUAAAACGUUGGACUGAAAAAAAGUAUUGAGUAUUAUCAGGAGAAAAGAAAAAUGAAAAUUUGAAAGGGUAUGUUGAUUAAUCAAGUCUGUGAACAACUAUAAAUACAUACAAUAAACCAAAUAAAAUUCAAGAGAAAAUGUCGGAGCCAUAAGUUUCUGUCUGACUGAUAUGUAGGUAAGAAACCAUUUCAUUUGCCCUCAAAUGGCUCACCACGAAUCAGGAAAGAGUAUUCAGAGGUGGGUCAUUACCCGGAUGGAAAUUUCCUACAAAUCCUAGAUAAUUGGGUAACGUGAUCAGGGCUCACUGAUGGCAAACAAGAAGACACUCGAAAUCGUUUUCUAAAUCCCAUGAAAAAAAGUCUAACAAGUAAGAUUGUGCAUUGGGUUUGGAAAAGCUCAGGGGAGUUGAAGUUCGUUCCAAUAACAAUUGAUAACUGUACCUAGUAUGAUAUCAUAUAUAAAAUAAUAAUCAAGAAAUUAACUGAUAGGAAUCAAGGUUAGAUAACCUCAGUAUGCUCAAUGACGCGGCCAUCUUGAUCCCGCAACCUACACAUGAACGUAUAAACAAUUUCUCCGAAUGAUAUUAACAAUCAAAAUACUGGGCUGCUAUAUACUAUGAAAAAAUAAUUUAAACUGAAAAAAUAAUAAAAUGAAGAACGAGUUCUUCCAGCCAAGAGGACGUAACCAUGAAGAAAACCAUGAUUAUUAUACGGAAAAGGCAUAAUCAUCUUUGACACGGAUAAAAAUAAAAUAUAGAUAAAAAAUAAAUGAGUAUUUAUAAUGACGCCAGCUCUGUGUGUGAACAGAAUGAAAGUUACAUAGUGCCACCUCUUCAGCAAUGGAAAACCCAAGAACUCGCUGAUCGGAGAAAAUGGGGAGGCAGGGUGCAGAUUCCUAAUUUAUGGUGCAGAAACUGCAUUAUUUUGAUGCUUAGGCAUUUUUUUAAGGCUGUUAAUCGUUUUUUCUGUAGAAUCAGAACUACAUUGUAAAAAUCAAAUCCUCCAGUUCUGGGGACUAUGAUAGAAUUCAACUUUACCGAAGAGAUCCUAGACAUACAUGUUACAUUCGAACUUGUUUUAGAGGAGUAAUAUGGUUGUCAACAAAGUCAACGUUGGAACAUAAUGGUAGUAACUAAAACUGUAUUAACGAGAGUCAAAAGGAGAAAUAACUCUGGCGAGAGAAAAUUUUGGUCACAUUUUGACUUUUCAAAAAGCUGUUUGCAUCCUCAGAUUGAUGAAAAAACAUGAACAAUGAAAGCGAAAGCCACAAUAAAAAGCCAAUGAAUGUAGAUGUAUAUCUGCCCUCGGCUCUAUAUAUAAACAGAAACAAAAUACUUGCCUCUCACAUAUUUUAACAACCUUUGCGCCAGAAUCAGGUUCACAUUUCCGCGUCUUCACAAAAAAUUCUUCGGGCUUGUAAGGAACAUCCUGAGUCAAUCCCAUUUAAAUAAAGUAAUGUUGGAAAAUGUGCAUAAAUAAAUUACAGUAAUUUCAGGAUCCAAAGGAGAUGAAAAAAGAAAAUGUAUCGCAGGAUUUCACUGUAUGAAACUAGGAUUCGAGUAAAACUGGAUUAGACAGUCCCAUCGGUGACCAUUAAAAGCCAUUGUAAUCAAACAUCUGUCACACCACCACAAGAUAUAUAUACUUAAGAGAAUUUAAACCUAUGUAAAGCUGCGUAAUUUUUUAUCAUUUAAUAAACGAAUAUAAUGCAUCAGGAUAAAGGAAAACAUUUGGCAAAGGAACUCAAAAGCAGAUCAUAGAAUUAUUGGCAGAUUAUAGUCUUACUCCAGAAGAUACCUAGUGAAAAGAGGUAGUCAUUCUGAAACAAAAAGGUCUACUGAGACAGCCAUUUGACAUAACUACCAAAAGAUAAAGGAGAAAAAUCAAUCCCACAGAUAAUCAAUCAUGCAGGGUGCCCACUGUUCAAGAGUUUUAUCGGUUGGGGGCCAAGUUGAUUUUUGGGAAUCGGCAUGAGAAACAAAGACGAACUCUGUUUCUCCAAUAAAUGUGUUCUCCAAUAAAUCCUCCUAUUUCUUUGCAUUUGAGGGCAUCCUAUUCGUCGACCAACAAAAAUAAAAGAGAAACAAAAUAUAUCAUUUACACUUUACCAAUAUGGAAUAUCCAUGCGAGUUUUCCAUACCCGGAUGUAGGUGAUUUCGUAGAGCGCAUAGGCGGCAGAUUUGUUGAUGGUAAUGACUGGCGGUGACCGAAUUGUCUGCAUCUUUUCAGUGGAAUUCUCUUCCACUUCCACAAGCUCUGCUACGAUUGAAGCUUCUCCACCACUCUGCAAGUAACCGGGGAAGAGAGUUUUACCCAAGUCUUUCGAUUGCACUUGGUUUCUGGACCUCCCUUCCGCAAUGCUGGGAAUAAGAUCUCACCGUUCCGCUGGGGACUGCAAGGUCGACGACUACCUUCUUGCUGCAGUCCAAAUGAUCAGAGUCGGAAGCCUUGACGCAGCUCUCGAGCCGCGACUUGGAGAGGAUCUCCACGCCUUCCGUACUGCUGCCGUCUCCGGUGAGAAGCACCAAGCAGAAAAGAUAAAGGACCGGCGGACGGAGACACUUCCUUGUUGCGGUCAAACGCGAGGAAGCCAGCGAUAGACGGGACGUAUUCAUUUCUCCCAAAGAGAGAGCGAUCAUAGCGAAGAAGAAGAAGAAGAAGAAGAGUGGAGACCGAGGAGAAAGUUUCCAACUCCACGAGAACGAACAUCCUGCGGGACGGCGGUUCUGGUUCGUAACCGUCUGUUGGAAGCACCGGUCAAUUCGACAUCGACAUGCAUAUUUCGAAAGAUAACAUCUCUAUUGGCAGGGGAACGGAGGAUGGUCGUCGACUGAGGUCCUCGACUCAGGGGCCGCCGGCGACGUUGAAGCUUCGCUGGGGGAGGCCUGGACGGGGUGCAAGCACGUGGCAACCUCCACCGUCGGCUCUCUCCCCCGUGGCGGACAGCCGCUGCCUCCCUUGGAGAAGGGCAAAGAAGAAUCUCCUUCCUCUUCCUCGCACAUCGUCAUCGACGCCUGAGAGAUCAUGGGGGACUCACCGGCGCCUUCUCUGGUGAAUAACCCUUCUCCUCCACCGUCGAGGAAGAGGCCAAUGAGGGGAAUACUACGAAACCCCCAGUGAGAGGAAGCGCUCCUCCGAGAAGCUACUCCGUCGCUUCCGCCCGAUGGGGAUCCCUCUCCUCCGCCUCCAAGCUCUCUGCCACCUCCGACCCCAACGAGGUCGUCUUCUACACGUCGAUGAAGGAACACCGUGAGGGGCUCUAGCACCAGUGAACACGAGGGAGGUAUAUUAAUGGAUGCGGCCCCUCGGAUAGAGCUCCAGCCUGGGCGCCGCCUCGGCAACGGCGGCGAGGGAAGACCCCCCCUCCCUCUGGCCAGGGAGGAUCCAUGCAUUAUACUUGCCGUAGCCUUUAACUCCCUCGUACGCCGCAUGCAUGCGAAUAUCUUGCACCAUACCCUGAAAGAAAUAGUCAACUAUAAACUUACACGCUGACCUCAUUUACACAAUAAUCAGGAAAAUGGAUUUAAAUUACAAAGAGCGGACCUGACCUGAGGAGACGAAGUUGCUGCCUCUUUAUUCUUUAUUUUGUAAAAAAUAAUUUGCAGACGAGAAGUAUUUUCACCAACGCGGAAGGGGGUCAACGUGAGAAUAAGAGCUGCGGCAGAACGGUUGAGGUUAACCGGACAGCUCUGAUUUUUCCUAGAUUUGCCCAGCGGUGGCGGCGCCGCUGGAGAGUGGCGCCCCGCGAUCGGCGGCCGAAGACGCGGCACCGUGUGCCGCCGUGUGCCCCCGGGGGCGAAUUCCCUGCCUGCCGACGCAUCUUUCAAUGAACAGAAGGCCUACCCUUCCUUCACGGAUAGCCAACCUGUCCCCUGCGACCACAGGUAGUACCUACAGUGCGUUCUCUAAUGGCGGCUUCUCCGCGCGGUCAAACCUGGCCGAUUUACUGCCGUGCCUUCGCCCCCCAGACAAGCGAGCUACUUCCAAGGAUUCUGUACGUGACGAAGCUCUCUCUCUCUCUCNNNNNNNNNNNNNNNNNNNNNNNNNNNNNNNNNNNNNNNNNNNNNNNNNNNNNNNNNNNNNNNNNNNNNNNNNNNNNNNNNNNNNNNNNNNNNNNNNNNNNNNNNNNNNNNNNNNNNNNNNNNNNNNNNNNNNNNNNNNNNNNNNNNNNNNNNNNNNNNNNNNNNNNNNNNNNNNNNNNNNNNNNNNNNNNNNNNNNNNNNNNNNNNNNNNNNNNNNNNNNNNNNNNNNNNNNNNNNNNNNNNNNNNNNNNNNNNNNNNNNNNNNNNNNNNNNNNNNNNNNNNNNNNNNNNNNNNNNNNNNNNNNNNNNNNNNNNNNNNNNNNNNNNNNNNNNNNNNNNNNNNNNNNNNNNNNNNNNNNNNNNNNNNNNNNNNNNNNNNNNNNNNNNNNNNNNNNNNNNNNNNNNNNNNNNNNNNNNNNNNNNNNNNNNNNNNNNNNNNNNNNNNNNNNNNNNNNNNNNNNNNNNNNNNNNNNNNNNNNNNNNNNNNNNNNNNNNNNNNNNNNNNNNNNNNNNNNNNNNNNNNNNNNNNNNNNNNNNNNNNNNNNNNNNNNNNNNNNNNNNNNNNNNNNNNNNNNNNNNNNNNNNNNNNNNNNNNNNNNNNNNNNNNNNNNNNNNNNNNNNNNNNNNNNNNNNNNNNNNNNNNNNNNNNNNNNNNNNNNNNNNNNNNNNNNNNNNNNNNNNNNNNNNNNNNNNNNNNNNNNNNNNNNNNNNNNNNNNNNNNNNNNNNNNNNNNNNNNNNNNNNNNNNNNNNNNNNNNNNNNNNNNNNNNNNNNNNNNNNNNNNNNNNNNNNNNNNNNNNNNNNNNNNNNNNNNNNNNNNNNNNNNCUCUCUCUCUCUCUCUCUCUCUCUCUCUCUCUCUCUGCUGUCGUCUCUAAAAUCUCGGGCUUUGAUUUCUGGUAUUGGUUUUCCCGCCUGCAUUUUCUGCAGUUCCUGGUUUGCCAGGCCAGCCACCUGAAGGAGGAGGUGCCGUGCAGCCUCGUGGCUUCGCCGGCGGGAGAUAGCGGCUGGUGGCGAGGGGGUCGUGGUGGUGGGGAAGAUUUCGGGGGGCCAGGGUUGGAGGGCAGGUGAUGGGGAAGGCGGGGAGGUGGCUGCGAGGCCUGCUGCGAGGUAAGAAACCGGCGGCCGGGGGGGAGAACCAGAAGCCGGCGAAGGAGAAGCGGGGCUGGAGCUUCGCGCGGUCGUUCCGGGACGUGGAGCUGCAGAGCGAAGGGCGCGAGGCGACGGCGGUGGAUGAGGUCAGGAAGGGGGCCUCCUACUGGGAAGGCAGCCCGAGGCCUCACGCAGCACCCUCCGCGCCACCUUCCCGUGCCGGUGGGCCCAUCUACCGUGCUGCAGCGCCGGUGGCGGAGGCGGAGGACCACCAGAGCAAGCGGGCGAUCGCAAUGGCUGCUGCCACAGCGGCGGUGGCGGAGGCCGCCGUAGCCGCAGCGCAGGCGGCGGCGGCGGUGGUCAGGCUGACGGGCGGCGGGCGAUCCCCCGGUAUGCACGUCGCCGUAGGCAAGGGCGAGCUGUGGGCGGCGGUUAAGAUCCAGGCCGCCUUCCGAGGAUACCUGGUCAGCAUUCUCCCGACCCUCUCUCCCUCUCCUUCUCCUGCUUCUUCCAGUAAUUUUCUCCUCAAAGCCCCCCUUCCCAGCUUCUUCUUCUUCUUCUUCCUCUCUAAUGCUUGAUCAGAGGACAGUGACGGGGGGAGAAUUGCAGUCGCAGUGGCACUGUCGCAUGCUGUUCAUCCUCCCUGGCAAUGGCUUCCUUCCCCAUCCAUCUCCAUUUCCCUCUGCCCCAGCUCGGCCGCCACCCUCGUCCUCAGCCUCAUCAGCAUUCAGCGAGCACAACGGAGGAAUAACCCAUCAAUCUUCAUCUCCUCUGAGAUGUGACAUCCCAUCCCCAUCUUCCCCCUCUCCGCCGGCAGCCCUCGUAUCCGACCUCACCAGCAUUCAACGAGCAGCGGGGGAAUAAUUGAGCUCCAUGCCCUCCGAGCUGUGGCAUCGGCGGUACGCCGGCGCUUCCCCCGCGCCAGCCCAUCUCCCGCUUACCCUCCCCAGUACCUCCUUAGGGUUGCAGGUGGGUUGAGCGCACAGUGCCCUCUAAGGUUUGCCAGUCUGGGAAGCACCCUCAGCGAGGACGCGUCGUUUUCCUUCUUUGGCGCAUUGAGGGGUACCCUACGACCCGCUUCAGCUACUCUGCCCCACUUGAAUGGCGCGUCCCCGCCGGCGACAGAUGCCGUCGUGGUCCUCAAUUCCGUCAUCCUGUUCCUUCGCUAGCCAUUAAUUUCCCUCUGGUUUUUACAUGCGUGAGCAGAAGCCGGGUGGGUGCCUGGUUCUUCAGCAUGGAGGCCUCUUCCUCUUCGUCUUGGAUGGUGGGAAAAAGUAGAAAAGAAAAAUUACAGAGGCGAUGUACUGGAUUAGGUUGCCCUAAUCCACCUACAUCCAUGGAGAGGUUUUUUAGAUCAUGGUUCUUCGGUGGAGCUCACCUCUUAUUGCUGGUUCUAGGCGAGGAGGGCUCUGCGGGCGUUGAGGGGCCUCGUGAAGUUGCAGGCGUUGGUCAGAGGUCACAUUGUCCGGAAGCAGGCGGCGGAGACGCUGAGAUGCAUGCAGGCGCUGCUUAGAGCCCAGACCCGGGCGCGCUCCUCCCGCCAUGUUUCCUCUGAGAAUCACCCGCCUGGCCAUGGAUCCCGGCAGAUCCGUCUGGUAGCCCUCCCUCCUCUGUUCGUUCUUCCACCGUCCCCGAUCUGCUCGGGCAUUUUUCUCUGAAGAUCUGUUCUUUCAGGCCCCUCCGACGCCACUGAAAUGCGAACCUUCUUCUUCAACUCGCUCCAGCCCCCUGAAGCUCGAUAAAGCCAGCCAAGUCAAGGUACCUCUCUCUCUCUCUCUCUCUCUCUCUCCACGGCAUCUGUUCUUCAUGAGGAUCUGGGGUCUGCAGAGGGUUGUGGAAUUCGACGGGGGGCAGUGCUGGAACUGGCUGGAUCGGUGGAUGGAGGAGCGGUACUGGGAGAGCAGAGAAGCAUCAUCGUCGAGAGCAGACGGAGCGACCGAAGAGGACGAGACGAGCGACAAGAUCCUGGAGGUGGACACCGGGAGGCCUCAUCUGAGCUCCAGGCGGAGGGCGGGCCACAACCACAACGGCCGGAGCUUCGCCGCCGUGCAGUACUCCCCGCCGUCGAGGGACUCCGCCCCCGCCGCCGCCCUUCUCACAGCCCCGAGCCCCUCCUCCGGCGACGGCCGGGAGGCCUACGAGAGCCCGCAGCUCUACUCGGCGUCUUCCCGGCGGGGACCCCUCACCCCCGCCAAGAGCGACUGCUCCAGGAGCUACUACAGCGGGUUCUCGGAGUACCCAAGUUACAUGGCCUACACGGAGUCCUCGAGGGCGAAGUUCCGCUCGCAGAGCGCGCCGAGGCAGCGGCCAGAGAGCGACAAGCCGGCCGCCUUCCAGCGGGUUCCGGUCGUCGGAACCCGCUGCGGGCACUCGUCGUCCUCCUCCUCCCAGAAGCCGUCGCCCUCCCCCCACAUCAAGCUCGCCGGCAAAGGUUACCCCGGCUCCGGCCGUCUGGAUAGUAUGGGAAUGCCCAUCAGAUACUAGCUACCUUCCUGCUCACUCUCUUUCUAUCUCUAUCUUCUGAUGUUUCCGCCGUUCUCUCAACUUGCGCACCGUCUUCCCCCGCCGGCGAACAGCCAGACGCCUGCGAUAAUGGCCCGCCGGCGUCGCGAGCCGACCAUGCUCCGGCGGGCAGGUGGGUGAAGGACAUUCCGAUCGGAGGACGACUUCACGUGCGUAAAGAAGCUCACCUUCGGAGAAGGUGCUCUGUCGCCGCCGUACGUCGGUAAACCUCCCGGAGGCAGGAAGUUACUGCGGCGGUGGGGUCGCUAAGCCCAUGCCGCGACAACGGGCUCGUCAAUGCAAGUCGACGACAGUGAUCUUCUUUUCAGUCUGUAUCGUCUUCCUUCCGCCGCAGCAGCAGCAGCAGCAGCAGCGCCACCUGCGCUGCGACUGGUCGGGGUCCACCGGCGGACCACCGUCGACGGCCCGGAAGAGCUCCGGCGGUGAUAACGCGAAGCCUCGUAGAACUGGAAAAAAAGGGGGAGCUUUAUUGGUUUCGCCGAUCUGUACAGGGGCCCUGGUAAUCGCCUUCCUUAUUUGAGCCUCCGUCUUCCUCCGAUCCGAGGUCAAGGAAUGCUGCAACUCUCGUAAAGCAGAGAACUUCAGAGCCCUCAAAAAUAGAGAGAGAGAGAGAGAGAGGGGGGGGGAUUGUGAUGUCUACAGACGUGGCGCAGUCGGUGUUGGGGUCGACGGUGAAGCCGAGGGAUAUGCCGCAGAGGCCCGGCAGGCGGCCGACGGCGGUGGCGUUUGGGUUGUACGUCGUUAUGAUGGCCAUCAGGCAGCUACACGCCGACCGCCGGUUGUCGGCGGAGUUGGCGAUGGUGUGGAGGCUCGCCACCGCGUUGCAGCAGGCGGUGCCCGCGGCCGGCAAUGGGACGCCGUAGGUGAUGUACUCGGUGCAGCUGGAGACGAGAGUGAGCACCGUGCUGCAGUCGAUCAACCCCUCCGCCCCGCGCCCGCCGCGCGGCAGCAGGAGCAGCAGCGCCACCGCCACCACCGCCGCCACGGCGGAGGACCUGGUCACCGCGGCGGCCAUCUCCCCCCCGUCUCCUUCCCAUCUCUUCGCUACGGCUUCCGUUUAUAAGGUCCUCCCUCCCACGGCGGGGGGCGGCCAUUCUCGAGUUGGUAAGUCACUCGAGAACUCUUCCCCUCGUCCUGCCUUCACGCGAGCUUGAUGAAACCCAUCCCCUCCCACCCCUUCCCCAUACCCCAAACCAAGGGGCUGACCUGCUUGGAAGACCUGUCUGCUCCCACGAAUCCGCCGCCAAAAAACAAAAAGUCAAAUCAAGUUCAUACUCGCACACAUUUGCACGAGUUUCUUGAUGGGUGACUCUGCAGAAGAACAACUUCUUUGAUCCGGCUAAGAUCUAAGUCAGCGGAUGUUUCCAUAAACCAAGGUCAACGCAUGAGCCAGCCUGGACGAAGUGAGCAAGGAAGGCUCUCGUGGAAGAGAGAGAGAGAGAGAGAGAGAGAGAGAGAGAGAGAGAGAGAGANNNNNNNNNNNNNNNNNNNNNNNNNNNNNNNNNNNNNNNNNNNNNNNNNNNNNNNNNNNNNNNNNNNNNNNNNNNNNNNNNNNNNNNNNNNNNNNNNNNNNNNNNNNNNNNNNNNNNNNNNNNNNNNNNNNNNNNNNNNNNNNNNNNNNNNNNNNNNNNNNNNNNNNNNNNNNNNNNNNNNNNNNNNNNNNNNNNNNNNNNNNNNNNNNNNNNNNNNNNNNNNNNNNNNNNNNNNNNNNNNNNNNNNNNNNNNNAGAGAGAGAGAGAGAGAGAGAGAGAGAGAGAGAGAGAGAUUAUUGAACCAGAGAUAUGGGCAAAUGAUGCAUGAGGUAUAUAUAUGAUAAUGUUGACAAUUUAUUCAGUGUUUCCUAAAUUUAAUGCGUUGUGCAAUAUAAUUGACGUCAGUAGCUUCCUAAACGCAAGCCACUUCCCAUGUCCCAAGGCCCAGAUGAUCUCUCUAAAUCAAGAAAAAUAAAUAAACAACUGCUUACCCAGACACCAGCAAGAUCAAAGCAGCCACCACCAGCACGCGCUGAUAAAGAUUGUGCUUUGACUUCGCACGACUUGCGUUUUGACUUCCGGGGCCAGAAUUCGGCCGCUGGAUCCACCCAAACUGUGGCCGAAGCAAGAAGACAAAGCCCAGAAGAAACCCACUCAGGAAGCCCCCGAUGUGAGCGAAAUUGUCAACGCGGGGUAGAAUCCCGAUGGCCAGGUUGAUGAGGAUGACCACUGACAGCGAGAACAGCGCCGCAACCUGCACCAGACGCACAGCCAUUACACGCCAGCAAGACCCCUCCCCCUUGCGUGAGAUAAAAGAUGAACCAGGUGUGGGACGGUGCCUUGUUGGUGUAAAUGGUCCAGUUCGUGAGGAGCUCAGCCAGCAUGGCUCCGAGGAGCCCAAAGAGCGCCCCCGAGGCGCCGACAGAGAUGCUGCCCCGGAUGAAAAGGGAUGAGAGCACGCUUCCGCCGAGUCCUGAUAAAAGAUAUAUCGCCCCUACGCGAACUGCAGAACGACGAUGAUCAAAAGUCAGAUGAGCAGGAGAAGGGAUCGCUCGCUGGAGUUGACUUUUAGAUCGACAACCAGAUGCCCUCCAUGGCGUAUUGGUCUGAGCCGAGUGGGCUACUUGGAAGAUGCCUCACCGAAUCCGAACUGCUGCUCGAGGCGAAUCCCGAUGAACAGCAGGCUCAGCAUGUUGGUGAUGAGAUGAAUCAGUCCGGCAUGCAGCCAGGCGCACGUCACAAGCCUCCAUCCUUGGUGCUCGCGGACGACUCUGCUCCACUCGAGUGCGCCAAGCUUCACCAGGCUGAGCGAGAAGGAAGCAAGAAAAAUCAUCACUCGCCAUGCUCGUUCAAUUCUUAGCAGGAAAACAAAAAUAAAAAUAGUCGAGUUAUGAUUGACGUCGAGAAGCAAGAGUUCCACAGGUUAAUCCAAGUUCAAUUUUUCUUCAGUUCUUCCCAACCAUCCGGGAAGAAUUAUAAAGAUAUUGCAGAGGGGUAGAACAGAAGAACAGAAGAAUCAUUUUUUUCGGCUAUGAAAAAUUUAAUCCCAGGUGUUUAUGGAUCUCAUCAUCAGAAACCUUCUCCAUUAUCCACGGUUGAUCAUACUUCCCCUGCUAGUAUGUGGGUUUCAGGUGAUUCUGCUCUGGUUGUCGGGAGAAAUGGCAGGAGCAUAUCGAUCCCGCAAAUAAUAUUAAUCCCUGUUCUUGGGAUGCAGCGGAAAGAACAUAGUACCCAGCAUUCAUCUCUCUUUCUGAAAAAACAGGGAAGAAAAUCCACCAGUCAUGACUCCUCAUUUCUCACUCCGUCACCUCCGUCUCUGCAAUGGAAAACCCCAGAUUCCCAUCCCUUACUGUGACUGACCAAUGUGGAUUCAUCUACAUCUCGAAGAUCCACGGUCCGGCAUUCCACAAGGUGAAUGCCGGCGCUGUUCUAAUGGCGAUGGAGGCAGGUAAGAAGACAGGAAACACAAGCAAAGACGCCAUGAAGGAGCGGAAUAAGGGGCGGGGGGAGGAGAGCAUACGUAGCGGAGGAAGGACCGAGGAGCGGGUUCUCCCGCAGGGGCUGGAAGGAGAAGCGGCGGAGGAAGCCACCGGCGACGCAUCCGCCGUAGGGUCUUGGAUGAUUGGGGCAGUUGUUGACGUACAUGGCCACGAGGAACAUGGCGACGUUCGCCACCACAAACAUGGGGACGAUCCACGGCGUCCAGAACGACUCCUCCCUGUCGACUGCGAAGUAGUCAGGCACUCCUCCGGCGUACCCCCCGCUGCCGCGACCCCCACUCUUUCCCUCGCCCCUGCCUCCCUCCACAUCCUGGUUCGCCAUCUCCCCUCCUCCUCCUCCCUCCACCGCCUGCUCUCCCUCGCCUCACUUUAUACACUACGGCGGCGCCGUCAACGGUGGGGUUUGGUGGUUCAAGAGAUGGGUCCCUCCCUCUCUGAGCUGUGCCGCAUUCCAGUCCCCUCCUCUCCUCCAGAGGCUUUGCUUGCAAGGCAGCCGGUGGUUGCGAGCGGCGGUGAGAAGCUGGGGAAGGCGGCGGAGAGACGCUGGGGAAGACGACUGCUGCUUCCCAACCGCCGGGGAUCAUGCCAAAUGACUCAAUCACCCCUCAGAGCCGUUAGCCACCGCGUCCCGGUGCCGUGUCGAUUUCUUAUUGGAGAAACGCAGGCGGUGCCGCGUCCGCGUUGGCUCGGAGUGGAAACCGCGUCCGUCUGAACCUCCACAGCGCGUCGCCCGGGUGGACUCGUCAGCACGUGAAGAGCAUCGAUGUACGGGAUAACUGAGUUCGGCCAAAAAGCCCUGUUCAACCUCUCUCUCUCUCUCUCUCUCUCUCUCUCUCUCUCUCUCUCUCUCUCUCUCUCUCUCUCUCUCUCUCUCUCUCUCUCUCUCUCUCUCUCUCUCUCUCUCUCUNNNNNNNNNNNNNNNNNNNNAAGAAAGAGAGACAGAGAGAGACAGAGAGAGACACAGAGAGAGAGAGAGAGAGAGAGUUCAGACGACGUUCUGGGCGGGGAAGAAUGGGUUUUUGAUUCUUCGCACCGGGUUCAGUUCAUCCUCUCCUCCCCCGCCGGCCGCGGCCACGCCCUCCGCCGCCACGGCGGCCCCUCUUGCCGUGGAAGCUCGAGGAAUCCGACCUCAGGCCGAGAGGAUGGACGCUCCUCCGCUUGCCCUCGCGCUGCUCCUCCGGCUCGGCCCUGCCGCCGCCCUUCUUGGAGCUCCUGGAGAAGAAGGUGAUCUCUCGGGAGCCCCCGGGGCCGAGCUUCACCUCCGCGGCGCUCCCGGGCGCCCGCCGCUCCUGCCGGGCGGCUCGUUCGCCGAGCGGAAGCGCGUCCUCCUCCGCCAGGGACACGCUGUUCAGAAACGCCUCGGCAUGGCGUUCGUCCUUCACCUCGUAAAGCCUGCAAAUCAGAGCUCAAGAACAUCAAAUAAUUAUCCUCUGCAUCAUUAUGAUCAGCAUGUUCUCAGAAGAAGGAGACGAAAUGUCCCACCUUGGGGUCUUCUUCGCCCUGCUUCUGCCGCUGCUGCUGGGCAGAUCUUCCGGAGAGGCAGAGCCCGCUGGAGCGUCGGAGUCGCUCGGACCGUCGUCCCCUUCCUGUUCAUCCUCCAGAACCGGCUCAAAGUGUUCUUCAAUCAGAGAGGGCCUCUUCUUGUUCCUCAACGAGUGAGCGUGCCGAGAGAGGUACUCCUCAGACGCCUCGUCCACUUCAAAGUCCUGCCAAGGAUUCAGAAGGCAGGUGCCCAUUCAGGAAUGAAAUAAAUUUUAAGCGCGGCUCUUCAAUCAUUCAAACUUUUUAAUGGCUUCAGAACCCAAUCAGGAAAUGGAAGCGAGGGUUGUAAAAUGUUCUUUACCAAAAUAAGUCAACGACGAGAACCAUCAAGAACAUCGAUCUUAAAGCUCUUGCCUCAAACCAAUACCGAUUCGUGAUCUUCUUUCGAUCUUAAAGACUCAAUACGUGAAAAAGAUUGUGAAUUUUUAAUAAUGAACAAUUAACGAUUAAUCAUCCGUUUAUGCAAUGGAAUCGAUCUCAGCGUCAUCAGAAGAAAGUUUUAAAAUCAUUUAAGCAGCCUUUUCCAACAAAGAAGACCAUAUAAUCUGCUGAUUUUUACCUUGUUCUCGAACAUCGCCGAAAAACGUUCAUCCUUCAACAGUUCAGUGCGCACAAUUUUCCUCUUAUUUAAUGGCUUUUUCUUCUCAGAAGCAUCGUCCUUGUCAAUAUCACCUUCUUCAGCCUCCGGAUUGUGAAGAAUGCUUGCUGCAUAUGAUCUGUUGACUUUGGGUAGCUUUCGCUUUAUCUACAACCGCAAAAAAUCGUAGAUAAAUUCAUAGGCUAAAUAAUCCUUUAGAACAAUUAAAAAACUCCAAUGGAGGUUCAAUUUAUUUAUUUUUUCCCAAGCAAAGUCUCAAUGAAAGAUAGCACCGUAAUCUUAUAGCGAAACAGCAUCGUCGAAUUUUGACAAGCUUAAACUGAAACUGAAAGGCAAUUCUGCUCGAAUGGAUGAGCAUUAAUGAUAAGAAACAGAGACAAUGUUCUAAUGAAGAAAAAUAAUGGCCAUCAUAACUGGAAUCGCCAUCAGUCCUAAUGAAGAAUAGGAUUUUUUUUCCAGGAAGAUGGAUACAGUGACUAUUGGGAGAUUUGCCAAAGCAGACAGCCCAAUUUUGCCAAAAAGCAAAUUCUUGAAAGAACGACGUGGUAUCCAGAAGAAAAAAAUCUUAAAAAAUCAAAUAAACAUUCAAAUUGAAGGAGAAGGAACGAACAGUAAUACGAGCAGCACGUUCAGCCUCGAGCUUCUCUUCUUUCUUUUUCUCAAUAUAAUCUUCAUAUUCAAAUGGAUAUGCCAAAGCUCGUGCCUGAAAAAGUACAACCAGAUAGAUAUAACAGGUGAAUAAUUAUAAAAAACACAAAAAAUAAGCUGGGCAUUUGCAAUAACAAGUAUCCUCUGGAUUUAGAAUUUAAUAAUGGCAAGCAUCUGGUGGGUUGACUAACUAUUCCGCUUCAAUCACUGUAAAAACCAUUCUAGAACAUUAUUCGAGUUAAUUAGCAGCAGGUUUCAAAACAGCUUUAGAUUAACAGGUCCAUCGAUCCUAGAAAAUACUGAUCAAGCCGAUAUUUUAUGCAAAAAGUGAAAUUAAUCAAGGAAUUAUGCUUCAUAGUUGCCUUUUGCGACAGUAGGCUUGUCAGCAAAUUUGAACUUUCAAGUCAAAUCUACCACAGAAAAACUGCGGAGAGAACUAGCGGAUUGUAUGAUAACAGAAAGCGAGCUCCAUAUUAUAAAGCUGCGGCAUAUCUUAUGAGAUGAUAUUGGAUCGAACGAAGGAAAAACAACAAGAAAAUCUAGAAAUGAUACAGGUUCUCUAUGAGAACAGGGGAAGAAUGAUAUCCAGACCCCUUAAUGCGAAAGAGUCCCACUAACGUGUGACAAUAGAUAAACGCCGCAUUAUUUACUGUAUGCAGGAGUGUGAUUAACCCUCAAAAUGAAGGUAGGAAACGAGAAAAUUGAUUCCAGAAAUAUGCAAAGCAUAUCAGCGCAAAAUAUAUCACACAAAGGUUUUAAAUCACAGGGAAUUUUUCCUUGAGAACAACAAAUGCCAGAUAAUUUGCAGGUAACGAAAAUAUUGAUAAGUAGGUAGAAGCAGAUUAAAAAAAAUAAAGAGGUAACAGAAUCCGAAAAAGAAUCUGAACAGAAAACUAUUCGAUUUAUGGAUGUAGACCACUCAGGAGGGGAGAGCUAUGCACAAAAGAAGAUUAUGGGCUCUAUUGGAAAACAAUAUUCGUUUUCUCAUGAAACGACAGGUGAACAUUUCAUUGCUAUUUUCUGCACUGUUACACAGUUAGGUUAAUAACCUUGCGAGGACUGACUUAUGGAACCCAAGGACAAAUAGGACUUAGAAACUCGAGACUUCUACUCUGAAAUGGGCAUUCAGCAUGUACCCUCUUUAAGUACUUCCAUCUACCUCCUUCAGACGACAAGCAUGCCAACAACACUGACAUGUCUAAGUAGUUCACAAAUUGCCGGUUCAGCUUUCACCAUGUAACAAUAUCCUACCGUAUAGUCAUAGCUUCACCUUCAGUGUUCCAGAAUGAGGAAGAUGAGAAGCCUCACUCCAAGACAAGAUUUGUAUCGCUGUGCAUCUCAAUCACUGGAAAGAUUGUGAAGAACAAAAGGGCAAUUCCAUAUUUUAAAGGACAAUUCCACGUUUUAAAAGUUCUCCAUAAACGUUUCAAUGUGUUUUAAAAGCAAUGUAUUGUUUCUUCAUUUUCUACGGCAUAAAUCUCCAUUGUCCAAUAUGCUCCGCACUUUCUUUUUGCGCUAAUCAUAAUCCCCAGAAUGACAAGUCGAAAAAACAAAUCUCCCCAGGCUUUCUCAUAACAGCCAUUCAUGUCUUCAAUUCCCUCUUCUAGUUUCACAGACAAAGAAAGCAUACAGUCACCUUUUUUCUAUGUCAUCACAGAGUGGAGCCAUUAGUCUCCCUUCUUCAAAUAUGUUCAUUCCCUGUACAGUCAAUAUUUUUUGCCAUACACAAUUCACCACACUGAAGAGAUUUAACAGUACUGAUACAAUAUUUCACCCAAUGGUCUGGUUCUAUCCUCUUAUGUAUGUCUAUGGUCGCAUGAAAAAGAAAACGAAAACUCUAGAAUUCAAUCCAACUACCUCAGUCUCUCUCCUUUACAGCAUUAUUGAUCCUUACACAUGGUAACCAUCAAUUCGUAAUCGUUCUCAUUUUGAUGCCUUCAGAAUAACCCAUUUCUUCCCACCACCAUCCAUUCUCUUAAGUAGGGAUAUAGGGUGGUGUUAAGACCGUCACCACUGCCAAUAAGGGGAAAACAGCUGCUCCCUAGUACAUGAUUGAGACUUUGCCUGGGUUAACCAACAUAUGAAAUGAUAAUUGAAUUAUUGUAGAAGAGAUACAAUCUUAUAUGCAACAAAUAGGUCCACUUCACCACUGUGAAGAGAAAAAAAAUCGAAGAGCUCUAGUCAGGUCGAAAAUGUUUAGUGCCGGGGUGAAAGGAUGCCAGUGAGAAAUGUUACUUUUUGUGAAUAAAGUACAACAGCAAUUGAUAGCAAAUUUAUUGGUCUGGCAUCUUCUCAUAUGAGAAAUUAACGUCCACAGCAAGUACCUAGCAGAGAGCUCAACCCUGAAGGCUACAGAGAAGGACAUAGCCAGGAAAAAGGGAUAGAAAGGGUGUAAAGCGAGAAUGUUGGAUUCUUACAAAGGCGGGUUAAACCUCCAUCCAAUAUCCUCACGAGUCAUCAUUCUCUCUUAUCUGACAGUUUACUGUAAAUAACACGCCUUUAAUUUCAAGAUUCGCAAUUCGCUGUAUGUUAUUUUAGAUAGUCAAGUACCAUCAGUUUUUAUUUGUAAUGAAUCAAGAUCUACGGACAAGCUAAUAGAAAAUAUAUCCGAAAAGAAAUAAAAAUCUACAACGUGUUUGGAUAACCGUAAUAAGAAAGUAGCAAUACCUUUUUAUAUUGCUGAAGGUUGAUAAUGUAGCCGUGCAAAUAUGGGUUCACAAGAUUGGACGAUUUUAAAUAUCCCAAAUUUAAUUUUUCAAGCUCUUCUUCAGUCACAAAUUUUACAUCCUCAAAUAUCAUCGUCUCAGCAUUUUCCUCCUCAUCCUGUCAAACGGAAAAAAGGAGGAACAUAAAAAGGAGUAAGUCAAAGGGCGUGAAAAAUAUUUUUUUGUUUUUAAAAUAUAACAAACGUAUCUCUUUAAAACAAAAAUUGUGGCACUAGGAACGCAGAAAGGAUCAUCUCACCACUGUCCUGUCAAGGUCUUUAAUCCACUUUGGGGCAGGACCAAGAGCAGGCACGAAAUAGGAAGGUAUCUGGCUAUGAUCAAGAGCAAACAGCAUCAAGCCACUCUGCGGAAAGAUACACACAUCGUUGAUAUUUCCACUACCUUCACCACUCGGCUGAAUGCUGGUCAAAUUAUCUCCCUGGAAAAACGCACAACAAAUUCUGAAUCAAUCAUAGUAGGUCAUUGAAUGGUUCAAAUUCCCCUAAGAAAUGAAAAUACAGAGAAUAAAUUAAUGCCUAAAGUCAACAACAACAGCUAGUAUUCUCCCGCUAAAAUUUCAAAUUUUUUUUACAAAGCUGCUAAAGAGGCAAUCAAAGCCAAUAAAAUUCAGCAUUUAAUUGGAUAACAUAAACUUCAAACAUGGAUAAGUGGCAUAUCCAUUCAAUAUCAAAAAAGGGACCCACAAGUCAAUUUUUCAUGUACUCUGAAAGAGUACACGGAACGGUAGACUACACCAUGUUAUUAUAGCUUAUACUGGUAAGCAUGCAUUUCCAUGAGAGAAAAUACCAGUUUUCUCGGUUUAGCUCAUUUAAAAGUUGAAGCCCAUUCAACUGAAAACCAAAAAGUUUUGCCUUCUAAACGUGUACGUUCUUCUCAUUCCAUAUAGCCCAAAGGAUCUCUAAGAGGAUAAGCCAUCAUCUUUUGCAAUUGUCUAUUUUAAGUAUCCAAUACUAGAUGACGUCAGCAUAUGCCCAUAGGAUAGUGUACCAUCUUUGAAAUCUCACGUGAGAAUGGCCAACCUAGGGGAAAAAAAAUCCAAGACUUCAUCUACCUUGCCAAAAAAUCCUAUAAUAAAUUGGCACUCAGAUAACAACUUCACAUAAACUAGGCCCGCAUGUUCUCACAUAAAUAUUCUAAGAAAAAUUGACCAUAUAGUUAAUACGGGCUGCAUAUUCUAAAAAAUAGAGUUAAAUUGGAACUAACAAUGAGAAAAAUACUUUGAACAAAUGCUAGCAGCAUCAGGAACCAUGGCAAAAUAAAGUAGAGGAAAUUUUGUUGACAACAUUUUUUCCAGAGCCAGAACUAGCCACAGAUUCUUGUGAAGAAAACAAGCGCAUUGGAAAUUACAGGAAACUAGCAUCCGGGAGGAUAGCAGGAGACAAAAGGAAAUGGCUAAAUUCAACACCGAUAUAAAAUGUGUACGAGUCUAGACUUCUUUUGGAGAUUUCACUACAUUGAAUAAAGCAAAAAAAAACAAGAGUGUACACUUUUGUCCCCCCUCCUAAGAGACAAGAUAAUCCCAAAGUAAACACACGAAUAAUCACAAAAAAUUCUCCACCAACCCUAUUGUGACGAGGGAACAUGCCGCCAUGUUCAAACUCCAGUAAUAUAUGACUUAUCAUGGAAAUGGCUGCUAACUCUAGUAAGAAUUUUUUAAUCGUCAUAAAGUUUUCAAACUUUGCCCUCUGUUCGCAGCGAAUAGCCCAAAGAAUAAACGCUACCUCAAUCCUAAUGUAAUCAUGUGUAAACAACAUAUGUUAGAAGAGCUCAUUUAGAAAGAUGAGACAAUAAUAAUCUACUUCAACAACUUGUCUGGAGAUAAGAUAAUAAUUAAAAAAAUUAAACAAGGAUGUUAGCAAAAUUAACACCAAUCAUGCAGCAUCUACCGAGAAAUAACCUUACCGUAUCAGGAUCCCAAAUAUUGACAAUAUGGCAAUCGGCACUGAUCAAUUUUGGCUUUACCGAAUUGAGGGUCUGAUGCCAUUUUAUAUUCACUAUUGCGCUGUCGUUCCUAUACAUUACAUAUAGAGAAAAAAAUAAGUAAUUCUCACAGGAGAAAUGGAAAAUGGAUAUAAAAUAUACUUGAGGAACUGUGGAGUCCACAGACGACUUACUUGUGGUCCUUCUCUCUGAUAGGAUAAGAAGAACGCAAGUCAUAGAUUCGUACCUGCAAUUCACAGAAUUUGAACAAUAAGCAAUAAGCCCUAAGAUGUUGCAAGAUCGCCCUCAGUUCGAAAAAGUAAAUUGAUUGGUCAUCUCAAAAAAUUUGCCAAUAAGUACCAAAAAACCAGGAAACUGUAAUCGAUGGCAGAAGUUUUGUAAAUUAAUUCAAUAAACAAGAUAUGUAAUCGACUGUUGUUUCUAAAAAGGAUGAAAUUCGACCUUUCAAACAAGCUCAUGAGAAAAUGAUGCUGACACCACUCACAACAUUCCACUCAAUACCCAAGUGGAAGAACAAACAAGGUGACCAUGCCACAUUUGUCAUUAGUAACAGCAAAAUAGAGGCAGAAUAGGACUAAAUAGAGAAACAAAAAAAAUUGAACUUUCUCCAAAUUCAUUGGCUAAAAAGAAAAAUGUUAUUCAUAUAAGAAAGAUUCCCCCAAAUUAAAGGUUUGGAUAUCUGACACUGUGAUCAGAGUCACUUGGCUGAAAUCUGAUAUUUAACUAUUGGCUAAUCAAUAGUAACGAUCACAAUCCAACUCCAAAGUCAACUGAAAAAGAACCUAGGCCCACGAUUAAGAACAUUUAAAUCUGAUCAUCCUCUGUGAUAGGCAAACGUGGAACAUGCGCAAUAGAAUCAUUCACAGCCAAGAAACUAUCAAGGAUCAAAUGGAAGAGUACAGUGAACUAAAAAUAUCUGCAAUAAUGCAUAGCUUAUAUACAGUUCUCUAAGGUAACCCAAUGGUCGGCUCAACUGAUCGAGCAAAGCAACUACUCAUGCAAUUUGGCCCAAAAAUAGAGAGCUCAAUGUUGACUCGCGCAAAUUGUUGAACUGCAUUCUAAUUCGUAGCGAGAAUCAAUAUCGAGCAUUUACAACAUAACAUAAUAUUUUGUCUGACACUCAUAGGUUUCGUUUGAAGCUCAUCGAGGUUACAUUCAUUGCCUAAAGUCUGCAAACAUGCGCCUAAAAAAAAUACUCAAAAUUUUCAAGGAAAAUGGCUGUAGUUACAACGGUAAAAUGAAUAAGAGGAACACCAUGAGUGGCACGCCAAUAAAAGCUAAUUAUAAUUGAGCCAUAAAACAGCCUAACCGUGAAGAACCUUAAAAAACUACUCAUUCCUGUAAAGUUUGCAAUAUCAAGCGAGUAACAUUGCAUUCAACCAAGACACAGCAUUCUUCAAAUUAUUUACACCACGGAGAUGACAUCCAUCAGACUUCCAAACUACUUGAUGCCAACAUCUUCAGGAUAAGUCCAUCAGGAACAACGCUAUCUCUAGUUACCAAGUAAUAAGGUUCUUCAUAGUUUUAAAAAUCCAACCAAAGUAUAAUCUCACAGUAAAACAGAAAAACAACCCAGAUUGGAAUAUAUUACGAGUUAUAAUAGUGACACCCUAGUUAGUACACCGAAAUUUAAGCCAUCUACCAUAAGCUAUUCAUUGAAAUGUAAUAGAUAAAUUUAAUAAAAAAAUAUAUACUUAAAUAGUCACAUGCCAAAUGUCUUCCUAACAUAAGUGACGAUUGAAACCAACCAAACAAGAAAUAAAAUAGCUUUCAUCAAAUAAAAAAUCCCGGGUAUACAUAUAUUGGAUUAGAUGGACCCAUAUCCGAUAUAAAACUUGUUUCAAUUUUUUAUUUCAAAUACAUUUAUCCAAGCAUAAUUCAUUAAAAUUGAAUUUAUUUUUUCGACGUGUUCAGCCCAUAGGCAAAAUUGACCCAUCUACUGCCCGCAUAAGACCAAAGUUGCAAUGUCAAUCUUCCUUUGAUCAUCCAAACAUGCAUACAUGUGUACAAUAUUAGGAAUAUAGACACACAUUUGCAGUAUUAGCACGUGUAUAAAUGAAUUAUUAAGGGCAGAAUGACUUCUUGUCUAACCUUUCCAGCGCUGCUCCCAACAGCCAGGCAAAAGCCACUAUCAUCAUUAAACUGCAAUGCAGUGACCUCCUGAAGAGGUAUGAGAGUUAUAAUCUGUCCACGAAGAAAGCUAACUAAUUUAAACAAACUCGGAUUGUAAGACAUUACAUUACCUCACUAGAACCACCUGCAGGCAUACAAGCAUCAAUCCUGCCAACUGAAGAUUUUACUCUCAAAUCAAAACAUUCCACGGACCCAUCCUCUCCACCACAAGCAAGAAGCCCAUGAAUGGCACUAUUCUCAUCAAAGCAGAGGAGAGAUUUCGUAAGCAAAUUUAGUCAUUAGGACAAUAACACCAAGAAAUUCAACCAAGACAAUGCAAAAAAUGGUGUACAGACCUUCGAGUGACUGUAUUUACAGCAGGCGCUUGGGUGUUGAGAGAGGAAAGAAAACGACCCUGAAAAAUUAGAAGGCAAUAUAUCUGUUAAUGGUGAAAGAACUUGGGGAAUAACACAGGCAUCAAAACCUUCCAUCCGACCAAUGAAACAAAAAAAAUUGACAAAAGCCAAUGAGAUGGUUUAUAUUGAUAACAAUGAUUAAACAAAAAUAACAGUGCAAAACCUAGACGUUCUAGGCACCAGUUCUCAUAAUGGGCCAUUGUAUCAGACAAAUGAGAUACAGGAAAAAUCACCAUAUCCAAUUAAAGAUAUGAGCAAAACCAUCUCGUCACGCAAAACAAUAUCAAAUAGGUCACAAGAUACUAUCCGAGUUUAAGUGGGAUAUCCAGAACUCUAAAAAUGAACCAGUUGAGUUCAACUGUGAUCGGGUCUGAUUCAGAUGGAUCAUCAGUAAGUUGUCAACUAAAAAUUCAUUUAGACCUAGAAGAAAUCAGAAUGAACAUAAUACAGCUAAUAAAAUAUUUUCGAGAGACCAUCCCAUGUCAAAAUCAGAUAAAUCUGAGAUGCUUGAAAAUCGGGUGCGCCGACCAAUAAAGAGAACGCCUCGAACAACUGUUAUAAUCAGCCUUAGAAACGAACCACAUCCAAAAAAAUGAAGGUGUUAAGAAAGACUCCAUCAUUAGUAAUGAUUUGGUGAAAACGAGAGAAAGGCCACAGCUGUGGAAGAGGGGAAGAAUGUAGGGUAAGGACAAGUGAAAGGAAUGAUCUCUGAGAUCACUCCCAUUUUCUCAGCAUUGUUCUAACCAAAUGAUGAACUGACGGCCUCAGCAAGUCUAUGAUCCAGACAAAACAAACUUAAAGAGAGACAAAGCAGGCAUAAGGACGUAUAAAGGAGAAAACUUGGUCAUUACACUUCUACAAUUGCUUAGUCAUCAGUACCAGAGAGUUAUAAAGGACAAGAAGUACAUUGUGACUAAUUUUUUGCUCUAUUUAAUUCUUUUUAUCCGUUGGGGAUUCAGUCUUGGGACUGUAUCAAUGCAAACCUUGUUAAUUGAUAUGAAUCCCUAGUGAGAGUGGUAUUUCACUCGUUAUUCCCAAAUUAUUUCGUCAUUCAAGUUCUAGCUUGAGAUUUUAGUCGUAUAUCAAUAUUGAGCCAAAAUUGCUUUUUCGGAGGUUAUCCGUAAAUUACUAUGGGAAGAAAACGUAAAGCAAAUUAUCCAUUACUGAGGCUGUGAUUUUUUCUUUAUUACCUUUCAUAAUAUAACUCUUUGGAAGAACCUGCUCUACUACUUUCACCAGAAGCCUUAGUACCGUAAGAGGGAAUAACUGAAGAGAAAUGGGGGAGAGGAAGAUAUCGGAUGGAAGAGAGGGAGAGAGAUGGAGAAAGGAGGGGAAGAGGGCUAAAAUGGUGCUUUACUUUACCCUUCACUUGACUGUUUUUGGUUUCCACAAGAAUAGUACUGGUCAGCAUACGGGUGAAUUACUCCUUACAAUAAAAAUCAGGCAGAAGGAUGCAGAAAGAGAGAAAAAUGGCACAAAUGCAGGAUGGGACAGGUCGAUGGAGGUUGGGAAUAAGAAGAGAAGAACCACGGGAGAGGCUAACAGAUAACUGAUGCUUCAAGACAACACUCCAAUGGACAAAGCAUGGGCACAAAAAAGGAAGAUGAAUGUGGGUGUCGGAGAGAGGAGAAAUAGAGGAAACGUACAUUGACCAAAAGAGAAUCAUCAACCCCAACUUGUGGAAUCGCUGAAAGAAACCAACAGACAGAAGGAGGCUAGUUGACUACUCGGUAGGCCAAUUCCAUCCUCCCUCCCAUCACAAACACAAAGAAGUAGAGAAGAAAUGAAGAGCAAAGGACAAAAGAGAGAUCGCACAAACGAUGGCAAGUGUGAGAGAGGUAUGAGUAUGUAAAAUGAGAGGCAAAAGUAUAUAAGAUGAAGGAGGUGGUUCACCAGCAUUGGCCACGCUAUCAUUUAUGCACGUUAAUAAGAAAAAUUGUCUCAUGUCAUGUCCCGUAAUCCAGCUCAAGCAAUGAGAGAAAAGUCGCAAGAUGUAGGUGCACAGACAGAGAAAAACGAGAAGAGGUGGAUGGAGAGAAGGGUAGAUGAUCAGCAGUAUCGAGGCUUUCUCACACGUAGUCUUCCUCUGAAGUCUUCCAACGCCGCAGAAUAAAGCACCCACCAGAGUAAAGGAGAGCAUACCCCAACCCCAAAUUAUUUAUUUGAUUGGGUAUGUCCGUUAUUGCACAAAUUUAUAGUCAUUAAUCAAUGACCUAUGUUCUCUCUUUCAAGCCAACAUACAGAGUAUUACAAUUUUCAAAUGUCUAAAAAACGGACAAUUUCAGUCCUUGUUAAUCAAUGAUGUACAUUUCCAUGCACAUAAAUACAAUUGAUGGUUAAAUUUUUCGCAUGUUUCUCUGAUAAACUAUUGGAGUGUAUUUGAAGAGAUUAAAACUUUGUUACUCAAUACCCUUUAGCAACAUGAAACUACCACAGGAUCUGAAUUUUUAGAAGGAUCACCUUCUUCGAAAUUGUACUAAACAAAAUAAAUAAAAUUGCAGUACGCAUCAAUCAGCAAAAGAGCCUACACAUUUCAAAAGCUUUAUAGAGUGUCAAAACGAACCAGUUCCAGAUCAAUUCUAUAGACGUUAAGACAAGAGAAGGAAAAAGGCGUCACUCAGCAAAGGAAUGUAAAAUAAAGGCAAGUAUUGAAACUAGCAACUAUAGCACUAAAGUCUAGAAAUUUUAUUAUUAGAAUAUGAAUGAAAAACCUGUUCCAAGUUGAUUCUGUAAACUUCUGGAGAAGAAGCAGCACAGAGUAAGUCACAUGACCAGCAGUCAUAAGUAAUAUCUCUCCCCAUUCUGUUAAAUCAUACAAAAACCAUUAACAAUAGCUUCGUCCACAAGUUAUUCCAAAUAAAUGGGGCAUUAGAUGUUGUCGUCAAGUUCAAAGCGGAGAAACAGGAUUUAAAACAAACAAAUACAGUAAACAAUGUCUCAACUGGCAACAGAUAAGCGUGUCAGACGUCAAGAUAUCUAAAAAUGUGUUAGAAGAAUAUGAAAGUAUUCAUCUAUUGAUGUAUGCAUUAGAAUUUAAGCAGAAAAAUAUGUCCAAGAGUGAACAAGAGGUGACUGUUCAUUUUGGAAGGGGGGGGGGGCGACCAUGUGCUCAAAGAUUCCAACUUGCGGGCCAGUCUUUUUUGUUUCUUUUUGGUAGAUCCUUAAAGAACACAAAAGGGGUCUACGCAUGGCCCUUGACCCAAACAUAAGAAAUACCCAAAACAACGAAAUAAAUCUCUAUUACACAAACCUACACGAAAGCGGUGUGUUUAUGUUAAGACAUAUGACAAUCAGGACACUCGCCUACUAAUUUCAACAAUGUAGACAAAUCUCAAUGGUCUCCACGACUCAUUUGUCCCUCUUGGAAGGCAUUCAUCAUUUUCUCAAGAAGACAUCAUGUUCUAGAUUUUUUUUAUACUUUUCCCUACGCGUUCAUUCAUCAAGAAGCAUUCAUCCACUAAAACAAACAUGCGAGAUAAUUUAAUAAAGAAGCCACAAUGAUGCAAAUUUUAAGCAUAAAUAGCAUAAGUUUCACGCUUCACAUUAUCUCGAUGGCAGAAAUAAUCUACGUAUGAAAAAUAGCAAAAGAAACCAUAUGUAACCGAAAACAUAAAGAGACGGCAUAAAAGGACACCCCAAAAAUGCCUUCACUACUCUUCCAGCAAGGUGAUAAAUAAGUAUGAGGCAGAUAAGCGAGAACAGAAUGGUCUAUCCUUUGUCCUGAAAGGAUAUAAGUAGACGCACUUCAAGCACAAAUGACUACUUGUUUGAUGUUGAUUAUGAUAUUUCAAUGAAACCCAAAAAUAGAUAACCUAAAAGAUCUACACUCGGUCAGCAGUUUUUUAACCCUUCAUAUUGUCUUUCAAAUUCACAGCAUGCACAAAUGACAGUAAAAUCAGGAUGUUUGAGAACAGUAAAUAACCUUGGUAUGCGCAGGCUAUAAUGACUUCCAUAUUUUGCAUGUAGGCAAACAGAACGAUCAGCGCAAAGAAAUGCAAUCUUUGAAUAGUCGUCACACAAUACCUAGAUGAACAAAGAAAUUGUACAUUUCAUCAGAAAGACUAUAGAAACCAUAAGCUUAACAAAAACAUCCAAUAAUGGUGAUAGCUUGCAUUCCGUUCGUGCUAUUGGACAAAAUUUUCGUUCAAACAAUUUCAAAUGAGAAUGUAUCACUAAUGGCAGCUGCAUCAGAAAUGACUCCCACUGCUCCCCCACCUAUGGCAUAUUUAAGAAGAUGUUUCGAACACACUAUGAAAGGUUCAGACCAUAGGAUUCCGUCCGACCGGAAAAAAUGACGCCUGACAAGUUUGCAAAUCAUGCUCAAUAUUCCGUAAUAUGCAUACAAAGGAAACUGCUAAACUAGAGUGCUUCUAGAUAUCUUAUCUUGGGCUUAAGAAACGAGACAUUCUAAUCGUUUCAUACCAGCACAACUGCUUUCAAAACAAUUUUCAUUCUAAGAAAACUUAAGACCAAAGGAUCAAGCUUACCUCCUAGUCUCCUCACAAAAUUACACGUAUGAUUAGCCAUCUUCAGAGUCCAUGAACAAAGGAUAGGCGCUAAUUUAUAAUAAAGAUUCAAGAUCCUAAAUUAGAUUCAUAAAGAAAAUAAGCUGAGAAGAGCACAAUUAUGUUUUUCAAAUCCCAUGUUAAUCCCUUGGCCUGAAACACGAUUUUAUACAUGAGACAAUUUCAGAGAAUGAAUAAUGGAAAGAUCAGUUCACAGCAUGACGAUCAUUUUCCAUUACAAAAUUGCGAUAUUAAGCACGUGGCACAGCUUCAGAGCUUAAAAAAUGUUAGUGACAUCAUGCUCACUGAGUUCUACAAGUACAUAAACAUAACUUUUCACUUCCUGUUUAGAUGAUAGCAGCACCUUGAAUUAUAGAACAGCAAGUAUGUACAAGCUCUUUGCAAUUCUCUAGAAACUAAUGACAACAGAGUGGCAAGAUUGGCUCCAGGAAGGAGGGGCCACAGCUUCCAAGUGAGAGAUGAGAUACGCUACAUAAUUCCAUUCAACUUAUGCAACCAUUUUUAAUAGGAUCUUGAAUCAAAUAAAAUCACAACAUCCUUUAGCUAAUUUAUCAAAAUAACCAUUUCAGGGAAUGGACACAAAAAAAGAGUCAAGCUGAAUAAAUCUGACGGGAACAUUUUGAGCAAUUUAGAGAAACACAUUUAGCUUCCCUUCGGGAAAUAAGCCAAGUACAGGGAGGGGAGAAAUGAACAACAUAAAAAGCUCAUACCUGAAAAUUUAUGAUUUCAGAUGUGAGAUGCCUUUCAAACUUUAAUGCCAUAUCCUUCAACUCGUAAACUUUUACUGCAGGGGGGUAAAUUCCUACACGCCACAACAAGAACGUGACAUUGUUAUUCUGUCCAACCACCGCACCAUUCUCUCUCUCUCUCUCUCUCUCUCUCUCUCUCUCUCUCUCUCUCUCUCUCUCUCUCUCUCUCACACACACACACACACACACAAGAAUGAUCAUUCUGGCUCUAUAAACCAAAACUAAGAAUAAAGAUACAUAUAUUCAAAGUACACAGCCGAACACAGUUGUAUCUACUACAACAGCAAAUAAUAUAUGGGAAACAAAAACGACAAAAUUUGUGGCACAAAGAGUAUAAAAUUUUUAUUUGAAAAAAAGGAAAGAAAAUAACUCCAACAACAGUAUAAUAGUCUUCCCCCUUACUUAUCACGAAAACGGAGAAAAAUCGUCAAAAUGAUGACGAAUUUUUAGCAAUUUUAUUCUGAAAUAACAUUAGGCUUCAACAUCAAUCUUCAACGCUAUUUUGAUCAUUUCACAUCCGCAUGAACAUGAGUAAAUGCAUGCAGACGUAUACAACACUGAGGCCCUUACGCCUUAUUUUAAAUGGCUUUUUCGAGCGCCAAACAUGCAUCCAUAUCAUUACUAGAUAAAGAAUUGGAGGUUCUCAUAUUCCAUCAGAUCAUGUAGUUUAUUCCAUUGGCUGAACCCCUCCUAUCUGACAACGGUUCUCAUUAAAUAUGAACCUUUUAUAAUGCGGCUUCGUCUGGAAACACUGUUCCAUGCGCGAACAUGGACAAAGGAGCGAAAAUGCUAGCCGAUUUAGUCAAAGUAAGCGUACAAUAAUAGUCCGUGCACAAGAUGAGUGCAGAGUUGUCCUCGUAGGAGUAGGUGGUCUUGUGAACUUAAAAACUGCACUCUAGAAAUAUAAAACGAAAGUGCAAUUCAACGUAUAAAAAGGAAACCUUCGUUUCAACGCCAAGUCGUUGACAAAGUAUCAGUGGCAGCGAAAUACCUGAUGCAAUAACGUAUUCACCAUCAGGAGUAACCUUAAUUCGGGACGUUGCUGUCUCAAACUUCAAAUCGUGAAUGACGUCAAGUCUUCUCUUGAAUUCUGGUAGAAAUAAGUUACCAAGGGCAUUUAGUCAAUAAGAUUAAGGUAAAUGUCACCGUAGGAUCAAAGGAAAAAGUAAAGACGAACCCGGAUGAGAUCAUAUCUAGUGACCCUAUAAAAAAAAAAUUAACGCAUAAUAUUUUGGUAUCAUGUUACAGAAGUUCGUCGGAAGGGUCCUGAGCUUGAAUUCAAUCAUGAAUAUGCAAAAAAUGUACCUAGGGAGCACAAUUGCACGUGAGACGAUUACAGAAAAGAAAACAAACUAGGCGCACCUUCAUCCUUUUUGAGGGACUUCAACUUGCUCGUCGGUAUAGGCGUGGCACCGUAUCGGUGGCCCGUGAUACAGUACACCUUGACACCAUUGUGCGACAAAACCUUAAGGCCCCCGCACUGGCUCGCCAUCGUGAGGGACGCCGACACUCGUCACGCUUGGACGGCAAGGGCAUAGAGAGAUGACAAGGCACAGGCGAUGAAGGCUCCUCCCGUAUGGCGGCGGAUGCGAUCAAACCAAUGACCGUACGUCACCUACGAGCGGAGUAAUCACAAGCCGGAGCAGCAGCCUCUGUGGAUGCUCUCGGGGCCGUCCUUCGGAAAAGGAGCGGGGUUUAGCCAGGGUUUGCCUCGAGGGAAGAAGAACCAGGAACCAGCGACCAGCUCGGCCGGCCCGGGCUGGAAGAGAAAAACCCUAACGCUACCGGUCCAAAGGGCCGAGUGGACUCGGCCGGGUUGGAAACUCGGGACGAUUCCCUCCCACCAUACAGCACCGCGAGUUGUUACUGGGCCGAUCCCAGAAACGGGCCGGAGCCCGUUAAUUACACCCAUUCCGUCUAAAUCAGCUCCUAUUUUGUAUUAUUUAUUAUGAAAAUGAUGCCUCGUAUACACGCAAACAUUUGAAAAUUAUUUCGUUGAGAUCUUGAAAAAAAAUCUCCUGUUCGUGGGGCCCACUUCACUCGGUCAUCUCCGCCGCGGCAACCUUGGGACACCGACUCCGCCCGGCGGCAAUUUCGAUCGUAGAGAGAGAUAGAGAGAGAUUGAGGGAGAGAGAGAGAGAGAGAGACGCUGGCUGCUCAUCCUUGCACAGUGAGGACGACCGGAGGAAGAGGAAGUGGAAGCCAAGAGGGGACUUUUUCUUCUGCCUGCUUUCACACGGCGGGCGACGGGGCGAGGAAGAGGAGAGAGAGAGGAAGCUCGAAGAGAGGGAGACCGCCUCUCGCUGUCCGGCGUCGUCGCCGUCUUGGGAGCGCAACCGCGAGUCCUCCCCAUGAGGAUAAGUGAAGGUCGAUGGGCGGGGAGAUUUGACGCGCCCGGCAGAUGCGGGGGGAUAGGGGGGGACCCCUGAGAAGGUCCUUCUUCCCUGCGGCGGAGUCACAAGGCGGCGAAGAGGCCACGCCGGCCGCCGGGCGCGGAGGGUCCAUAUCUACCGCAGAGGAGAAUAGCGUGGGAGGGAGAAGCAUUGAAAGUGAAAAGUAUGAAUGGGGAUAGGAUCUGAGAUUCCAUUUACCCCGGCACGUCUCUCCGUUCCUGGUUCAUGGUCUGACGUGAAGGGAUGGAUCGUCGUCGUCUUCUUCGGCGCACAGGGCCUGUUCCAGAUGCCGAAGGUGGGCAGGCGGCGUUGCGCGGGACGUCGACGUCCAUGGCGACUGACCUUCAAGGCCUCGGUUCGCAUUAAAGCCGGCCCCGGCGGCCGGACGGAUUAACUGCCGUGGCUUAAUUACACCCCUCGGAGCGACCCUCUUCAAGAACUGCGAGCAACUCACUGGUUUACCUAGACCAUUUUCUGGCGUUAUUCACGGGUUUGCCACAUUAUCACACUAUUUUUUACAGAUUAAAUCGCUGCGUUAGCCAGUUUCGGCCAGUGUCACCGUCGUUGACUUUUACAGAUCGGAGCAAUAACUCUGCUAUUUGACAGUUGGAACAUUCGGUCCAAUGAAUUCAAGGCCUCCGAAAAUAUCAGAGCUAAAGGUAACUCCGAGUCUUUCUCAUCACUGCAGAUAUUUUAAUCGAUUUUGAUCUCGGCCAGCUGACCCAGCUGGCCAGAUCAUCCGAGGGCCGAUCAGAUGCAGUUAGUUCAUCGAGCUCGGCCUGCCGUGGUUGAGCUGAAGGAGGCGAAGGUUCAGCCGUCUUCUAAGAGUAUCAAGAACUUGAGGUCGGCGAUAAUGGAGGACUCCGAUCAAUCUCCGAGACGGAGGCGGCGAGCUUCGUCCGCCGGAAGGGGGUCCUCGGAGUUAUUAGCGAGGAACAGUCAGUGGAAACCUCAGCAGCGGGUGCGCUUUUGGAAGCACAUCAAAUCGCGAUCCUCCUGGUCCCUGACGAUAUUCGAUACUGACUGACCUCGAGAAUAUAUGCGCCGUGAAAUGCAAUAUAUUCAUAUAAAUUUUCAAUCUUUAUGCAGCCCUUCCAUGGUUCGGGCGUAUCCGUGCGCUGAAGUGGCUUUGCUUUGUCUGGGUCUUUCACUCACUCUCUCUCUCUCUCUCUACCCAUCGCCUGCGAGCGGAUGCACAUGGAGGACCCGGGGGCGUUCCAGAGUGUUUCUAUUAUUUCUUGUGGGAGCAUUGAUGGGCUCGUGACCACUGUGCCACUGUGAGGCAGAGAAAAGGGCCGGGUCAAGUGACCUCGACGGGAGCCACCUGGAAGUCUUACCUCUGACCUUCGAGUGAAGCUGUAAAAGAAAAGUCAACACUUUCACAAACCCUGCAUGGCUAGGACUCGUCCUUUUGCCACGUGGCUCCCCAUGACGAUCCCUCACGUGGCGGUCACAUCCCCGCCCCUCUCUCUCUCUCUCUCUCUCUCUCUCUCUCUCUCUCUCUAUAAAUACAUGUGCGCAUUGAAUAUCAGAAUUGGGAGUAAUUGGGCUCAUUGACACCUUACUCGACUGAGUGGCGCUCUUUUUAGAGCACUUAGAUUAAUUACUAAAGACAAUGGACAAUAACUAUGGAUGAUACCCUUUUAUAUUCCAAACUUUAUACCCCGCACGAGUCACAUAUUUGGUGCAUUCAGGCUGAUUUUGCUCGAACACAAAGCAUCGCCGUCACGCUAAAAUACGCUGCGCACGCCAAGCAAGUUCCCCUAUAUCGGUCUGUGCAGGGUGAGGUCAAAUGGUCAACGGCGUUGACAUUUGAAGAUACGUCUACAAGUCUCGGCGCUGUCGCCACCUUCCAACUGUUAUCCCUUCAACAGUAGCGUAAUUGAAUGAGGGAGAGGAUAAGGAUGCGGACAAGGUGCUGUUGCCCGGUAAAUAGAGGGAAAUGGGGGCGUUUGGUUGAUGACGUUAGAAUUGAAGGAACCCGGAGUCGACCGGCCCGGCUGCCGCCGGAGCGCAUACGGAAGCGCGCCCAUUUAAUGCCGCCGGUCAUUUUCCGGUGAGGCGAGGAGGCCCCGGCGGGCUGCAUGCAUGCGGGGCCUCGUGCCACGGCGGCGGUGGUGGUUGAGGGACCGCCGGAGGAGGGAGGGAGGGAGGAAGGGGAAGGGGGGGAAUUUAAUAGCGCCGAGGAGGUGCCCGUGCGCGCCGCUCGUCGCCAGCGGGGGCGGAGCAGUGCGGUGGGGGCGCCGGAGGAGGCGGCGGAGGGAGGGAGGUGACGGCGGGUAGGCACAGCGAAGGCCAGCCGGGCGCGGCACGGCGUCCCCCACGCGCGCGCGCGCGGCCAACCGACUCCCAGCUUGACGCCUUAAUUGCGUAUCCCGAUCCGGAAUGCAACGGCUGUGGCUGGAGGGCUGGUCUGCUUCGUCCUCCCCACGUCUGGAAGGUGAACGAUGUGUAGGGGGAGGGGGCACGCUCCUUCCUCUUCACGACGCUCCCUUCACGAGAGAUUAUCUCUCUCUCUCUCUCUCCUCUCUCUUCUCUCUCUCCUGUUAAGAGAGAGAGAGAGAGAGAGAGAGAGAGAGAGAGAGAGAGGAAAGAGAGAUCGCCUACCUGUAGAUCCGCAACGAGGAAUUUAAUGACCUUCCGGCUCCUCCAGCGUGCCCGUCCCCGUCCCCAUCUCGAUGCCCACACCCUCACUCCGCCUCUCCUCUACGACAUUCGGCGUCUCCCUCUCUCUUCCGACCUUCCGUCUCUGGGUAGCCUCCCUCGCCCCAUCAGCGGUUGUCUCUACCCAUACCGUCCAUCCGGCUGACGCCGCUUCGUUCACCGUGUACGGGAAGCCUCGCAGAGGGAGGUGUAACUGUCUUAUUUGUAGCUAGAGAGAGAGAGAGAGAGAGGGUUGGGGGGGGGGGGGAGUGGUAGGAAGNNNNNNNNNNNNNNNNNNNNNNNNNNNNNNNNNNNNNNNNNNNNNNNNNNNNNNNNNNNNNNNNNNNNNNNNNNNNNNNNNNNNNNNNNNNNNNNNNNNNNNNNNNNNNNNNNNNNNNNNNNNNNNNNNNNNNNNNNNNNNNNNNNNNNNNNNNNNNNNNNNNNNNNNNNNNNNNNNNNNNNNNNNNNNNNNNNNNNNNNNNNNNNNNNNNNNNNNNNNNNNNNNNNNNNNNNNNNNNNNNNNNNNNNNNNNNNNNNNNNNNNNNNNNNNNNNNNNNNNNNNNNNNNNNNNNNNNNNNNNNNNNNNNNNNNNNNNNNNNNNNNNNNNNNNNNNNNNNNNNNNNNNNNNNNNNNNNNNNNNNNNNNNNNNNNNNNNNNNNNNNNNNNNNNNNNNNNNNNNNNNNNNNNNNNNNNNNGAGAGAGAGAGAGAGAGAUUGGGGGGGGGGGGAGGGAGUGGUAGGAAGAAAUUGAGGGAGGAGUGACCUUGACGAAGGGAGGCUGGGUGACCGGGGUUUCUUGCGAGGAAAAGGCGUGUAUUUUUCUGUCGUACUGUGGCUAGAGUAUGCUCAUCGUCUAUAAACUGUGCGUAAUAUAAUUAUAUUUUUUCGGUAGUUUGUUUGGGAGCACAGUGUUAGGCGGGGGAGAGAUAGACAUGAAUAGGGGAGGGGGAGACAGACAGAGACAGGGGGGCGAGGUGGGGUAGAGAGAGAGAGAGAGAGAGAGAGAGAGAGAGAGAGAGAGAGAGAGAGAAUGGUUGGGGGGGGCAGCUGAGAGAGCGCGUCGUUUUGACUUGAGCUACUGCUAAAUGCGACUGCCAUCUGUAGAAGAGGAAGAACCAGUCGGUCAGCCGUGAUCCCCCCUCUCGAGCUCAAAGGUCUGCCACGAUCGCCCCUUUGUAUUUUUCUUACCAGUGGGGUGGUUCCGAAUUCCAUCUGGUUUCCACUCCUGAGACAAAAAAUACAGAGACCCUCUCUCUCUCUCUCUCUCCCCCUCUUAUCCCCACCUCACCGUCUUCGUCUUCCUCCUGGCGGUGUGUAGGUCUGCGACAGGGUAAAAGCAGGGAAACUGGAAAGGGGAGGGCAAAAGGCAGGGCUUUCCCCGGAUUUUACCUCGGCCUUCUCCGAUCUCUCUUUUCUGAUCAUUCCGACGGUGAUGUGAGGAGGGCAUGGUCAAAUGGCGCCUUUCGUCGGGGCCUCCUCUUAUUAAAUAAUCGGCGUUAUAUAGCUCGCCUCCGUCCUCCCUGCGCUCUGAGAACCGCCAGAGCGACAAGCGGCUCUGGGGUCCUUUCCCACCUUUUGUUCGUCUUCCUUCGCCCAAGUUUUUCUUUUUCUCCUCCUACCUCUGGUUCCAAAGGCUUCACACGGUCCACAUAUGCUUUUUUAUCCUCCCGCAGUCGCCCUCCGUCGCUCCCGCCGUCCUCCUCCCGACCCGGUUCCCUUGAGGCCCUCGAGCUCUGCGUCGGCAGCCGUAGCACAGGGGGGAAACAUAUGACAGGCGAGUUCUGAGGAGGAAGAGGAGGAGGGCGGAGGGUUCCGUUUUUUCUUGGUCUUAGGGGUUUGGAGUGAAAGAGGGAGAGGGAGACGGGAAGAGAACGAGGCGCUAGCAGGCGCAAUCUCUUACCAGAGAGAGGGGGCUUUGCUCGGCUUCUUUCUCUUCCCUUCUUCCGUAGAACAGGCAGAGAGAGGAGAGGUGGUUAGGAGGCAUUUGUUGGCAGCACCCGCCAUCAUCUGCAACGGGGGUUGACGCGAUCGCCUCCUCUGGCCUCUCCUUCACUCGAGUCCCCUCCUUUCAGCUUCGUUUUACUUCCUUUUGUGCUGCCAUUUUCUACUCUCUUUCUUCUACUUUCCGUUCUCUCUCUCUCUCUCUCUUUCUCUCUCUCCUUCGACGCUCCCCUUCGCCGAAGUCGGUGUUCCUUCGUUUCCUUCCAGAGCUCGGUGCAUGGCUUGAGAUGGUUUCAGAUCCGAGUGCCCGAUGAACUGGGGUUCCUAGGAAGCGAGGAUAUAGCUCUGUAGUGGUCUUCACUGCUCUGGGUUAAGGGAGAGGAGGGAGGAUCUCGUUAGAUCUCUGAGAAGAAGUUCGUACGAUCGAAGGAACUAAGGUGGCCUUCCUCGGGCGGAUGAAGGAGACCAGGGGCUGCAGCUGAAAAGCAGCAAAGAGGAAUAGACAUUGAAGGGCAAGAAAUUGACUGCGCUGCGACGAGCGAGAAGCGUCUCGGAAGAGCGACGAACGAACCGGGGAAAUUGAUGAGUUUUGGAGGCUUCCUGGACAGCAGCAGCGCUGGUGCAACGGUGGUGGUGGACAUUCCCUACAGCAGCACCACCGCCGGCAUGCCUGCCGGCGUUAUGUCGCAGCCGCGUCUCCUCUCCCCUUCGCUUCCCAAGUCCAUCUUCUCCUCGCCGAGCCUCUCUCUAGCCCUCGUAAGCCCAGCUCAGCCCCCCAUCGCCACGAGGCUUCGCGUCCAUCCAUUCUUUUCUUCCGUCGGGAUUUUUUUUUCAAAGGAUAUUUGUUCGUCAUUCUCGUUCGAAUUUCCGUCCAGUUUUGAAUUGCGUAAUCCGCCCUUGCUUGAUAUCUUCUCUACGAAUUUUUCAGCAGACGAACCUGGAAGGCGGUGGAGUCGGCGGUGCAAGCGGAGGCCACAACGAGAUGCUCAGACAGAUUGCCGGUGUGGGGGAUUUCGACUCGCCGGGCGGCGGCGGAUUCAUCGCUGGCGCGGGAUUCGCCGGGAAGUCCAACGGCGGUCAGAGGGAGGACGAGAACGAGAGCAGAUCGGGGAGCGACAACAUGGAGGGCGGGUCGGGGGACGACAACGAUCCGGAGAACCCUCCGAAGAAGAAGAGAUAUCACCGCCAUACUCCAUGGCAGAUCCAGGAGCUCGAAGCGUGCGCUCUCUCUCUCUCUCUCNNNNNNNNNNNNNNNNNNNNUCUCUCUCUCUCUCUCUCUCUCUCUCUCUCUCUCUCUCUCUCUCUCUCUCUCUCUCUCUUCCUCCCCACCCACUGAUUUUGGCUCUCGACACCGCUCAUGCAGGUUGUUCAAAGAAUGCCCUCACCCUGAUGAGAAGCAGCGGCUGGAGCUGAGCAAGAAGCUGGCCUUGGACAGCCGCCAGGUCAAGUUCUGGUUCCAGAACAGGCGCACGCAGAUGAAGGUGACCGAUCUCCCCCGGCUAUUUUCUCUUCUUUUUCGCGAACCAUCUGCGCUCACAGUAGAUCACGGGAUGAUGGUGCAGACCCAGCUGGAGCGGCAUGAAAACGCUCUCCUCAGGCAGGAGAACGAGAAGCUGAAGAUGGAGAACAUGCACAUCCGCGAGUCGAUGAGGAACCCCAUGUGCCAGAACUGCGGCGGCGCCGCCACGCUCGGGCAGGUUUCGAUGGAGCAGCAGCAGCUGAGGCUGGAGAACGCCCGGCUCAGGGACGAGCUCGACCGCGUCACCGCUCUGGCCGGUCGGUUCAUCGGCAGGCCGAUCGGGUCCUUCGCCGGCCAACUCUCUCACAUGCCCGAUUCGUCGCUGGAGCUCGCCGUCGGCGGCAACGGGUUCGCCGGACUCUGCCCCGUCCCCUCCGCUCUCCCUCCGGUGACGGACUACGUCACUGGAAUCUCUAGCGGGAUGCCCGUCGUGACGCCCUCAUCGGUGCGCCCCGUAGCCCCGGUGGGGGAAGUGGACCGGUCCUUCGAGAGGUCCAUGCUAGUGGAUCUGGCGCUCGCCGCCAUGGACGAGCUUGUGAAGAUGGCGCAGAUGGAGGAGCCCCUGUGGAUUCGCGACGUAUCUGGGAGGGAAGUUCUAAACAGCGAGGAGUACGUUCGCGUGUCCUCCCAUUGCCUCGGCUCUAAGCCAGUGGGCUUCGUGACGGAGGCCACGAGGGAGACCGGCAUAGUCAUCAUCAACAGCUCCGCCCUCGUCGAGACCCUGAUGGAUGGGGUGAGCUCUCUCGCCCUUCUCCUACCCAGUUGAGCUCUGAAUCUUCUUCCUCGUGAUCUGAUAUUAUCCUCGCACGAUUUAUUUCUUGCAGAAGCGCUGGCCGGAAAUGUUCCCCUCCAUGAUCGCGAAGACCUCUCCGACGGACGUCAUCUACAUGGGAAUGGGAGGGACGAGAAACGGCACGCUUCAGCUCGUAAGCGUUCCCUUGUGGUUUUCUUCAUUCCAUCUCCAGACCCGCGCUGUUGGUCUACCAGUCGGAGCCGAGGGUUGACUUCGGGAUUUCCGCAGAUGCGCGCGGAGCUCCAGGUUCUCUCGCCGCUUGUGCCCAUCCGGGAAGUCAACUUCCUUAGGUACUGCAAGGAGCACGCCCAAGGCGUGUGGGCCGUGGUGGACGUCUCCGUGGAACCGAUCACCGGCGGCUCGCCGGGCCUUCACCCGUCGGUGAGCUGCCGGAGGCUCCCCUCCGGCUGCCUGGUGCAAGACAUGCCCAAUGGUUACUCCAAGGUGCGCUCGCUUCUCCCCCUCGUUAUCGUCGGUUUCUCCGCUUCCCCCACCUUCCCCUGAUUCUCCAAUCCCCUGGCAGAUUAUCACUGGAAAACAAGAAGACUAGUUUAUCUCCGGCUUAAUAAAUUCUCUGGGCAAAGAUGUGAUCCGCCCCGUGGUGGGCGUGACGCAGUUCCUGGUUUAGAGGCCCUAGAUUUAGCUGCCAUCAUGGUGGAGCUCGAGCUUCCAGAAAGCUUGUUGGGUCCUGCGCCCCCCCCCCCCAUCCUCCGGUUAGUCAACCGGAGAUGGAUCAGCGGCCAAUGGGUGCUCUCACGCGCCCAAGGGUCGAUGAACAGGCCCGUGCUUUCCUCCCGAGUCUCUGCCUGUCUGGAUUUUUUUAGGGUUUCCGAAGGUAGACGAAGAAGCCCCCGGAGGGAGAGGCUCCUCUCUCUCCUGGUGCUGCCUGCCCCGGCCAUAUUGAAUUUCCUUGACCUCGGCCCCCGUGCGAGCCCUCGGAAUCAAGAACGUGUUUUUAUGUUUCUAGAGCGCGUCUUCUCCGGCAUUUAACUAUUCCGUGGUUCUUUCUAUUCCCCCCUGCAAUCUUGGCCUCUCUGUCGUCUCUCUUCUAACCUAAUCAUGCCUCUUUGCUUAGACUAAUCGAUAAAUGGCUCGCAGUAGGCCGUCUUAGUGUACUUUGCCCUCCCAGCUGCUGGUUCGAAGAAGGGUGGGGUGGGGGUGAUGGGGGGAUCGCCUUUCUGUCUCUUUCGACGACUUGCAGAGGGCGUUAAUGGCGGCGUCUCCUCGCCAUCUUUACUCGUCCAACGAAGCUGGCUGUUCUGGUGCAGGUCACGUGGGUGGAGCACGCGGAAUACGACGAGUCUGGAGUUCACCUGCUCUACCGGCCGCUGCUGCGCUCCGGCAUGGCGCUCGGCGCGCAGCGGUGGGUGGCCACCCUCCAGCGGCAGUGCGAGUGCCUCGCCGUCCUCAUGUCCUCCGUCCUCUCCAACCGAGAGCUACCCAGUAUGUUCUUCAUCUCGAGUCUCCGGCCGACGACUAUGAUCACGGAUUGGCCACUGAUCUGUUUAUUCUACCGUGUUUGGUUGCGCCACCAGUGACGGGGAUCACGGCGGCCGGGCGCCGGAGCAUGCUGAAGCUGGCGCAGCGGAUGACGGCCAACUUCUGCGCGGGUGUGUGCGCCUCGUCGGUGCACAGCUGGGCGAAGUUGAACAUCGGCGCCGUCGGGGAGGACGUGCGGGUGAUGACCCGCAAGAGCGAGAACGACCCCGGGGAGCCACCGGGGGUGGUGCUUAGUGCCGCCACCUCUGUGUGGCUGCCCUCCGCCCCCCAGCGGGUCUUCGACUUCCUCCGCAACGCGUCCCUGCGCAGCGAGUGGGACAUCCUCUCCAACGGCGGCCCCAUGCAGGAGAUGGCCCACAUCGCCAAGGGCCAGGACCAGGGCAACGCCGUCUCCCUCCUCCGCGCCAGCGUAAGUAACGGUGUCGCGCCGCCAUCCUUCACCUCCAAUCUCCGCCUCGUUUCCUGUGUGGAGGAUGACUUAGCUGUUCACCCUCCGCCGUCGCCGUCCU